rnacentral:lncRNA from 1 species
CUUCAUUUGCUCUACGUCAGAUGAGAUAACGAAAUGGUCAGCCCCAAGCAGGCUCAGUGCUUCCUCCUUUUUAGAAAUGCUUGUACUGAACACUGUGACUUUCAGGUCCAAAAGCCUUCCCAAACUUAACUGCCAUAUGACCGAGCCCGCCAAGUCCAAUUACACCUAGAGACUUACCAGGUUGGUUCAUCUUGUGACGUAUCAUUGGAGUGUACACCGUGAUUCCAGCACAGAGCAAUGGCGCUGCUAGAUCCAUCGGGUAGUUUUCUGGAAUCCUGAAGCAAUACCUGUCAAUGAAGCACCACCAUUAAGUUUCCAAAUAACACCAAGACAGGAAGUGAUUUCCCAAUAGAAUCAGCAUCCUGUCUUUUUUGUCUAAAAGGAAUCAAAUCACAGAGCCAGAAAUCCUAUCUUCCGCAUGCUAAGGAAUUUUACUUGCUUAGACCACAAUUCAGCAUCAUGUUGUUUCCGUGAUCCUUGUUCUGACCACAAAUUGCUCAAGACAAACAUUUCUUGCUGUAGCAACGAAAAUAAAGCAAUUGCAGCACACCGGAGGCCACACUCGAUUAAAAUUAAGAAAAGUCACUUGCUCUAAGAAAGGAAACUGGUGGCAUAUCACAUAUGCUUGAUUGAACACGUAAUUUCUGUAUUUCCUUCAAUCAAUUUCUCCAAGGGAGUCAAGAUUCCUGUGGCUCUAUCAGAUACAAGAAUUACUGAAAGCACAUACAUUUAGCUACCCAUUUGAUCUGAUACUUAUGAUCUAACUUUAACAAUCUAAGGACAGCUUAUUCCAUUCUUGACGAUGCUUACUGAAAAGAAAGAAUUUCUUUUCGCAUUUAAUAAAGCCAAUUCUCCAUUGAAUGGUUUCAAUGGUAAUUGGAUACAGAGGACUUAAAGACCCUCCAAAGCAGUUAUAGAAAGUAUCUUUAUCCCUUUCCACAUGAUGCAUUAUGCCACUUCUGGUCACAAUCAGAAUACGAAGAAAAUUAGCAGAGAAGAAGACAUGACAUGAAAUCUUUUUUUGGCCACCAUGAUUUGAAAUUCUUUCACAGUGCAAAAUGCUGCCUAAUAACAUUGUGUCAAUAAGCAAUUACCUUUCAUGGACGACAAUGUGACUAGAAUAUCCUCCCUUUGUCACUGUACCGUCCGUAUCGAUUCCGUCAAAAGUCAAAACCAUCUUUUCACAGUGGACUUCUAGCCCGUCAUUGCAAUACUCGCACUCUCUGCAUGAAUUGACAUAAGUUCCCACACCCACAUGAUCGCCAACUUUGAAGCGUUGGACACUGGAGCCAACCUGUUUCACAAUUCCAACUAUCUCGUGCCAAUCAAUCCAAAAAAUCAUUCGCAAAUUUUGUUCAGAGAAUUAUUAGGAUGGUGCUAAGAAAAAAGAUUAACAUUCGAAUCACGCUGCAUCCUACCCUGGCACCAGAGGAUACUUGGAGCGUCCCGACAUAUUCCUAGUCCAACCCACAUCUGCAUAGCACACUCCACAGUGCGUGAUCCUAAUCGAGACGUCAUCGCUUCCCACGGUCCUAAAGAGAGAAUUCCCAAACAGGUGAGCAUCUAAUCAAGCAACUAAUCAGACUCAGUUACCUUUUGUUCUCAUUUUCCAGAUCAAUAAACUAAGCGUGGCUUACAAUAAUCAUACAUUCAACCCAAAGCAAAAUUUAAGAAAAGAGAAAUGAAAAGGAACCAAAUCCAAGACUAUAGCAUUUGUCUGAAUAGUACAUACAACCUCAAAUGCUCACAAAGGCAGCACCUGAAUCCUAAUGUCUGCCAUGAAGUUCUAAGCAACUCAUUCUGGGACAUGACAUCUCAUGCGUACGAACAAUUCUCUACCCAGAAAUUAGUGCAUACACAACAAAAUUUAUAAAAGCAAAACGAAAUGGUUUGGUUAAUGUGGAAAUUUAAAUAUAUGACAAGCAUCAAAAACUGUUUUGCAUUACAGGUGAGAGGAUAAGACCUGAGAACACUGUAUUGAGAUUAUUCAGACAAAUACUUCAAUAGAAAUUGAAAGUAUAAGGAGCAGAUGAAUUAAAUAAAGAACAAUGGUAACAGUAAUACCUGCGGCUGAAUUUGUAGGGGGAGAGACGUCCAGAAGGAUCUCUGGCAGCCCAACCAAGACAAUCUUCCUUCGCACCCUCUGAACUCAUCGUUCCUCAACGACCUCAACUGAAAUCGACCCACAAAAAAAUUGCUGCGUUAAUCUCUCAAUAAGCUGAAUUAUGGAAGAAGAAGAAGAAUUAUUUUCGUGAAAGAGAAAUGAAGAAGAGAAUUUCAAACCGAAAAACAGAAGUUCAAAUGGUCAAAAGGCCAAAUGUCACGAAGACUUGGCAAUUCCGUUUCCGUGCAGACAGGAUUUUGCUGUCUGACUUUUGAGCAAAGAGCGAGAUUGAUUAGCAGAGAACGAGGUUGAGCGCUCAAAAACCGUCACCUCUUUAUAGAUGCCAUAGCGUCGCCUGUUCUUGAUUUUUUUUUUCGUUUUAUCUUGUGGAAAAGAAUUAGUGCCAAACGUAAGCCAUUACCUUUCCCAGUAACGUCUUCUGGAGUACGGUUCUUGGUAUUUGCGGAAAUGUGUGUUUGAUGUGUGUGUAAGUGUGUUUUGUGUGUGAACUAUCAAGAGAGCAAAAGAACUAAAAAACGAUGUGAGGAAGAAAUAGUUGGACAAAAUAAUAAUGAGAAUGUGUAAAAGACAAUAAGGCUGAGGCGGUGAAGGAGAGAAACUUGAAUGAAAGUCAACAAUAGUGGCUGAAGAUGAAACUAGUAUGUGGACAGAAAGAGUAUUUGGAGAAGAAAAUGAGUUGUCUUGUAGCUGUACUGCGGCAGUGAAAAAGUGAAAAAUGUCAUGUCGGUUGUAAUUGCCUAUAUAGGCUUAUCAUAUGCUGUGUGAGGUGAACCCUUCACCUUGUGUGGGGUGACCCCUCCACUGUGAGAGGUCUUAGACCUCCACCAUGACCAUAUGAAGAGUGACUAUCAACACCUCCAUUAAAUUAUUUUGUCUUCUUCAAUAAGUUCUUGACAGCUGGAGUUUGAUGAAGAAACUUUGAUUCAUGCUUCUAUUUCUCAUGCACGUAGACUUCUUUAGCCUGUUCUAGGAUUUCUUCUUCAACUUGGCUUUUUCUUACUUGCAUUCCCAUGUGAAUCUUUUAGGUUCAGCUAGCAACCAUCAUUCUCAACAAGUCUAAACAAUCUUCAACAUGGAUGCUGCUACCAACGUUUAUUAAUUUUUAGACAGUUUUAGAGAAAAUGAAUUAUAAUUUCCAACAUAUAGUAUUUUGGAGAAAAAAGUAUUUCAGCAUAACUGUGCAAGGAUUUGUAGAUCACUACAACAUCACCGGAGGCAAAUAAUUAUCCGUCAUUGACAUGAACGAUAUAGAAAAAAUUCUUUUAAUCAUUUACCUUAGUUUAGCAAGAUCUGCUUAAACGACAGCCUUGAGUAUCUUCAAUUCCUUUUCUCUUGCCUUCAAAAAGAUAUUGAAAUGCGACACGGAAUAUCAAGACAGAUUGUCAUUGACAAAGCCGUAAAAGCCUACUCGAUCUGGCAAAACUGGGGACUGUUCUUUCCAACGAUCUUGACCACCUCGGCAGCUGCUGUGCAAAUGGAUAGGAAUGCAUGCAGAGGGACAAGCUGAUUGUUACCUGCUUUUAGUCGUUCAUUUGAAACUGUAAGAUUCAUGUGCCAUAAGAUAGCUAGACAAGCGAGCAAAAAAUGAUGCGCCUUGCACCAAAGGUGGCAAGAGCAAUUAAAUUAAAUUCAAACCAAAAAAAGCUUGAUGCAUAAAAUGAAAAGUCAUCCUUUGAGCGAAUAAAUGACAAAGUAAGUGCAAUGAGAGUCACUAAUGUUCACGCUAGACUUAUGCCAUGACCAUUCCUUAGUCGAGAGAACGUAAGCAGCGACAUCUUCUAGAUAGUGGUUACUAGCAAUUUUAUUUUUUAUCCCCAGCCUAAUCAUAUUAUCCGAGUUAUAAGCUCAGAAAGAAGUCAAUGAGCAAUCUACCGCUAGGACCUAUGAAUGGUCAUACGAUAUUGGUUACACAUCUUGUUAGAAUAUAAUAUGCGGAAAUAAUAGGAUCUUGCAAUUUACGUCAACGCGCAAAAUUCCAGAUAAAUAAACGAGAAAUAAUAAGAAUCAUAAAUUUACGUGAUUCAGUCCGAGUAUCGAUAUUUACAUUCACAGGGAGAGCCAGCAACAAAUAGUCCAUUAUAAUAGGAAAAUCAGAAUUUACAAUCGCACACACGCUCGAUUACUUCCCACACCAAGAUUUAAGCUCAUACUCAAAGAGUUUAUAAAUAAAUAAUUCACUUGGAAAUUAUCUCGCGUUCAAGCUUUAAACUACAAAACAUUCUACGUACGCCAAAAACAAGAACUCCGGCAUUUGUCUUUUGGUUCGCGUACAUACAGAUUCGUGUUCUUCUUUGCUUGAUCGUUCGUGUGGCGCUGUUCUAGACGCUCCUUUUGUGUGGCUCUUUCUUCUUCGUAGGGCUUCAGCGACUCUUUCUAAAAGAAAAAAAAAAAAAACGUGUUCUAAUUUAUAUGUGAGCCUAGAGUCUAACAACUUUGACUUUGAGCCCCACCACGUGCUUCUUUGUUCAAUGGGAAGUGGGACGCGGUGAAGAGACCCUACCUUUUUCUUCCUCUUUCCUUUAUUUUAUAUAUAUUGUGUGCCCAAAGUUAAGACUUUGACUUUGGGCCCCACGUAGAGAGCCUUGUUCGGCUCCCGUAGAUAGAUAAAGAAGAAUCUUUGCUCCUUUUUUGUUAUUCUAUUUUAUUUUCUCUUUUAUAAACUUUCAUGGAGUCCGACGAAGCUUUUUUUUGUUGAUCGAAAAUAUCCAAGACCCAAAAAGAAUUUCGAAUUUCUUUUCUUGUGCAUAAUCUUGAAUAUUAUAUUCAUCAGAAAAUAUCUUCACGAUCAAAUAAUAAAAAAUUUAUCCAAGCAAAUUGCGUUUUGCAAAUAUUUAAAAUUGAGACAUAAUUUAACACAUCUGAUAUGAUGUACUACCCAAUUACUGUCCUCUGACAAUUUAUAUUUGAUUAAUUUAUUUCAAGAAUAUUCAUUUGUUAAACUUGUUGGCUUACAAAUCACUGUCACUAUCACGUGAUAUAUCCUAUAUUGAGAAUACUUGGGAGCAUCUAUGCUUGUUUUAUGUAUGUUAUGCUUGUGAUGCAUCUUGUUUUGAGUGGACUGUAGAACUAUUUAAGUUCAUGCCAAUUUGACUAAUUUUUUAUCUGGAUAAGUGCAUUGGAAUAUUUAAAAACUUAUCAUAAAAAUACAAUUAAGCCAUGAAACUUUGAAAUCAAGUUCUAGAACUUGUCACGUUGGUCUAAUCUAAAUCCUUCCAUUGCAUUUUUGAAAAUUUCAGUACUUAACUACAAUUUUCUAACAAGUUUUAGUAUUUCCAAUAUACAUAUUUGUCUUUCAACCUCACUAAUGUUUUUAAGCAAUAAUGAGCUUGACAUAUCUCUGAUUUCGGAAUUUCAAUGGCUAUAGGAGACAAAAGGACGUCCUCUAAUGAAUCAACAAUCUUAUGCCAUGACAAAGCUGGAAGAGAGAUGAGUGUCUUCCAUAGUUAUAAAAAAUGUUCAUGCGAUAAUCUGUAGGAAUUCGUCUUCCUGACGUGCAUGAAUAUUUCCGGCCAUGAAACAUUUCACAGUGAAGACAUUCUGUCACUUAAACUGGCAAAAGGAUAUUGAGCUUGUUCUUUUGGCGAGGGUAUUGCUAUUAAAUAUGCCAAUUAAUUCCACGACUAUUAGCAUUUGUUUAAAUAGAGCAUACAACCUAAAAUGCUCACAAUGGCAGCUGGUACUGGAUCCUCAUGUCUGCCCAUGAAAUUCUGAGUGCCUCAGACAUGGCAUAUCAUGCACACAAACAAUUCUCAACCCAGAAAUUAGUGCGUACACAACAAAAGUUAAAAAAAGAAAAAAAGAAAUGGUUUGGUUAAUGUGGAAAUUUAACAUAAUGACAAGCAUAAAAAAACUGUUCAGCAGUACAGUAGAGAGGUCAAGACCUGAGAACACUGUAUUGAGACUUAUUCAGAUGAACACUUCAGAUAGUCACUAAAAAGCUAAGGAGCAAAUUGAAUAGAGAAGGGAAAAGUGCCAAAAAAGUCCUAAAACUUUUGUCAUUGUGCCGAUUUAGUCCUAAACAUUUUUAAGUUGUGCAAAUUCAGUCCUUUCCGGCCAAUUUUGCCCGGAUUUUGCUGACUGGACGCCAGUCAGCUGACGUGGACAAUUUUUAAUAAUAUUUUAAUAUUUUAAUAUUUUAUUUUUUAUUUUUUUAUUUUUUUUAUUCUGCUCUUCUUCCUCCAGCCGGUCGCCGGACCUCGGCGACCAGCCACCUCGCCAGUGGCCGCGGGGGCGGCCUCGCGUGGGGCGGCGAGGCUCACCCUCGCCGGAUCUGGCAAGGGUCGAGCCUCGCCCAUGGCCGGCGAGGCCGCCCUCGAGGCCUGGGCUGCGAGGCUCGCCCUCGUCGGAUCUGGCGAGGGCGAGCCCCGCUAGCUUGCCGGAUCUGGAUUUGGCGAGUGAGGGGGUUUGAGCAGGGGGAGAGAGUCAGAGGGGGUAAACCGCUGGCCACCCACCUGAGCCGCGGCCGUCGGCCUACGGCCGCGCCUGGUUUCAAGCACCGAAGCUUCGGUAGGCCUCGGUCCUUUUUUGUGCCUUGCGUUGGUCGGACUAGGCCAGAGCUCGCGGUCUUCAAGGAUUCGGUUCGAGAUCUGAGGGCGUUUGAUCUGGGCGGGACUUGAGAGAGAGAGAGUCCUCUCCCGGCCAAGCCGAGGAAACCCUGGCCACGUGAGACCACCGCCACAAUGCUGCCGCCCAAUGCCGUCCACCGCUGCUCGCCGACCCGCCGCCAUAUCCAGCGAGGGCGAGCCUCGCCCGCCCCGCGCGAGGCCACCCCCACGGCCACUAGCGAGGUGGCUGGCGAGGUCGAGGUCGACCUCACCGGCCGUCACCUCUGGCCGGUCGCCGAGGUCCGACGACCGGCUGGAGGAAGAAAACCAGAAUAAAAAAAUAAAAAAAUAAAAUAAAAAAUUCAAAAAUAUUAAAAUAUUAUUAAAAGUUGUCCACAUCAGCCGGCCGGCGUCUAGUCAGCAAAAUCCGGCCAAAUUGGCCGGAAAUGACUGAAUUGGCACAACUUAAAAAGGUUUAGGACUAAAUUGGCACCAAAAAAAGGUUUAGGACUAAAUCGGCACAAUGACAAAAGGUUUAAGACUUUUUUGGCACUUUUCCCAAAUAAAGAACAAUGGUGAUGAUAAUACCUGCGGUUGAAUUUGUAGGGGGAGAGAAGUCCUAGAAACCGUCAUAAAUGCCAUAGCGAUGGAUGUUCAUGAUUAAUCUUUGAGCUUACUAUUGUGGAAAAGUAUUAGUGAUUCGCCAAAUGUAACCCAUGACCCUUCCUUAACCCAAGAACGCAUGCAGUGACAUCUUCUAGAGAGCGGCUCCUGGAAUUUUUUCCAUCCAUCCUCCCACUACCUAAUUGCAUUAUCAACCUAUUGACACAUAAACGAUGUCAAUAGGCAAUGUGCCGUUGCACCACAAGACCCACAAAUGGUCAUCUAUGUCGGUUACACCACCAAUAAUUUGUACCUGACCCUUCAUGGUCCUAUUAUUUGAUUAAUCUGUUUAAAGAACAUUCAUUUUCUUCAAACAUGCUUUCUCACGUGCCACUGUAAUAUGAUGUUUGUUGCGACCUACCUUCGGAGGGAAGGAAUAGGUUUAGGGGUAUUGGCUAAAGGACGGGCCUAAAGCCUAUAAUUAGACGCGAGCUCUCCUAAACCUAUAUCCCGCAUGACGUUAGGAUAUUCUUAAGAAAUUUUGCUCGCCACUAACCUAUUGGGGUCGGCUAGAAACCAAGUGAGGCAUGGGAGCGUGCCUCACUUUCUACGCAACCAGAGAAUCUGGGUUCGAGGACUUAAUUACACUAAUUAACUAAUUAGUACCCUUUCGAUACCUAAUCUUGUUCAUUUUAACAAAAUGAUUUUUGGCAGGCAGUUUGAAUUGAUUUUAUACUUAUCCACUGACAUAUGAUCAUGCAGAUGCGCAAUCAUUUAAAAUAAUAAUCAUAACUACCAAGAUCCUAAUUAUAGUAAAAUUAACUCAUGCAACUAAACAAUCGCAGACACAGUCGAAUAUGUAAGUUAAACAUGCAAUAUAAUCAAAAUACGAACAAAUAAAUACCGAAUUACACAAAGAAGGGCAAUACACAACAAUUCCUAAUCAAACCCUAUAUUUUUGGAUUUACGAAUUUUUUUAUAUAUAUAUUUUUUAAAUUUAAUAAUUUUGUUUUUUUAAAUAAAUUAAAUUUUCUUUUUAAAGAAAGAUUUUUUUUUAUGUUUUCUGGAUUUUUUAAUUUUCGGAAAUUUUUUGAUUUUUGAUUUUUUUUUUUGAAUUUUUAUAUUUUUAAUAUUUAAUAUUAUUAUAAUCAGGAAAACGGGUCCGACUGGGUAGAUCCGAUGCGGCCAUUGACCCGACCCAAAACCAGAUUCGACUCUAUCGGAUUGAAAGAGAAAAUAAGAUUUUUAAUUAAUUUUUUUAGUUUUUAAACACUUUUUCUGUUUUUUCCUUCUCCUCCUUUUUUGGCCUCCUCCAUGUCUUGUCUUUUCCCUGCAGUCUUCUCAUCCUCGCCGCCUUCACCGAAGAUCCGCCCCCCACAUCUUUUCCACAUUUCUAUUCUUUUUUUUCUUUUUUUUCUUUUCACCACCCUUUUAUUUCUUUUAUUUCUUGUUUUUCUUCUAAGCUUUUCUUUUAAGUUGUCUUCUCUGCAUGCUUUCUUCUCCGCUCGAAGCUUCCAUUAAACACCCGAAACCCCCUCUGCCAUUUCAUACUUUUCUUUUAUUAUUUAUUAUUUUGCCUUUUUAUAUUUCUUUUUCUUUAUUUUUCAUUUUUUUUCUCUCUUUUUGUCCUUUUCCCUAUUUCGGCUAUUCUACUGCAUCUUCUCCUUCCGAAAGCUAACGCCAAUUCUGCAACUUCCUCGCCGAAGCUCCUUCCCACCGAAUCUCAUCCGCACACUAACGACACGGCCCUGAACAAUCGGUGACCCUUCCAUCGCCCGUCCACCGGUAGUCGCUACCCCACGGAAAGAUGAACAGGCGCAAAAGAACAACAAGAAGACAAGGAAUGGAACACGGGUCCCUAAGAUAUUAAGGAACUACGUCAACAUCAAGAAAUGUUCAGAUUCAGCCAUAACAACAACAAAACCUAAACGAAAUCAUGCUCAAUGAUCCAUAAAGGAUUCCUUUUACGCAAGACCGGAGCAUACUCAUUCCAAAUGAUCCGAAAUUCACGACCUAAUCCGCGUUAACUUAGUUCAAGCGUUUUAUCAAACACGUGGUAAGCACUGACUCGGGAUGAGGUUAUUAACUCCUCUUUGGACCCGCUCGAGUCUAGACCCAGAGAAAUCAUCAAGAAACAUGCAAAAUCGACCACAUCAACUUACUCAAACUCAGCGUGCAUAUGGGCUGACAAAAGGAACAAGACAUGGCUUCCGGUUAGACCAAAACAAGGUGGAGCAGCAAGGGUUCAUGCGAACAAGCAUCUCAUCACGGAGUUCCCUACCCAACUCGAAGACGGCAGGAAGCGGGCCAACUCGCGACAAAUCGAGCUAUAGCUCGCCGCUUUGGUAUCUUCGAGCUGGGACCCUAAUCGAAAUGCAUCCAUUUGUCUCAUGCACUAUGGGGAUCCUCGGGCAAGAGAGGUUUGAACCGAGUAAAGAAACUCACCAGCGACGCCGAGAUUCGGGGGCGAAAGAUCGUAUGCUAGAGGAUAUUGGCCAGAGGUCGUCGAAGACGGUUCGAGCGUGGCCGACCUGCUACAAAACUUCUCCCUCGCUUUUGUGCUGGUGUUUUCUCCGUUGCUCCUUCUGCCAAGCCCCCCGCUCCCUCUGUUCUUCUCCUGUUUUCUUUUAAAACUGCCGUUGGUUCAUUUCCCUUUGCCUCCGUCCAAAAUGCCUUUUGCUAGUCCACGAAGCCAGCUCUCUUUCUUUUCCAUCUUCAGCUCUAAUUUUCCUCGGUCAGUCCAGCCUCCUUGCCUCUAUGUAUGCCUGCAGCCGGUCUUCUCCUUGGGACCGAGUUCGGUCUAUUUUCAGCUACAACGGCUGCUGGUUUUCUUGGGCUUCGUCAACUGCAGGCGCUGCCACGCUGCAGCCAAGCUUUCAUUGCUUCCAUUUUUCUGAAAUCGCACUUGCCGAUCCUCUGCAGAUCCUUCUUCGGCUUCCUCCUGUUCUGUCUUCUACAGGUCCUGCGCGAAGAUUGGAGGAGGGAGAAGGAUGGGGCGCGGGCUGGGCCGACGGGGGGAAAGGAGGCUGGGCCGCGGGGGGAAAAGAAAUAUAAAAAAAAAAAAAAAUUCUUGAUUUUUUUAUUGACUUUUCGAUUGAUUUUUUUUUUUUUUGUAAAAAUAGGUAUCAACAAUGUUUUUGAUACACAAAAUACUAUCUCUUCAAGAGCUUUGACUCCUAUAUACUUGGGGCAUUAAAUUUUUUUAGCAACAAUGAGCUUGGCAUAUCUCUGUUUUCGGGAUUUCAGUUGCUAAGGGAAACAAAAAGGACGACCUCUAAUGAAUCGACAGUAUUUUGCUAUAACAAACUUGGAAGAGAGAUGAGUGUCUUACGUAGUUACAAAAAAAUGAUCAUGCAAUAGUUGGUAGAAAUUUACUCUGCUGACAUGCAUGAACAUUCUGAAAAAAAAACGGAAAACGUGCAUGAAUAUUUCCGGCCAGAAAGCAUUCACGAGGAGCUGAGAGACACUAUUUCUUAAAGCAGCAAAAUGAUUACAAGUUUGUUCUUUUAGGGAGUGGAAUGAAUAAAUUGUACAAAAAAUCCUAAACUUAUUGUCCGAUCACUAAUUUAAUUCUGAACUUUUUAAUUUGAUCAAUGUUGUCUAAAACUUUUGACAAUUUUUUGUAGUCCACCUAGUUAAAUUUAGGUCAAAAAUCAGUGACAGAGCAAUUUAGUAAACACUAACCGUUUUAAGUGAUACAACUGAUAGCUUAUAUAGAUGACUUAAAUGAGGUAGCGUCAUUUCACAAUUUUUUUUUUAAUAUUCUUUCUUUUCUUCUCUUUUAGUAAUUUUUUUCCUAUUCUUUCGUUCUCUAGUGUUCUUUUUCUUCCCUCUACUGGUGGCCGAUGCCUCAGCAAUGACCAGGGACCAUCAUAGGCUACAAGUGAGGGCAUUGAGCAAGACUUACAAGCCUUCUCCUAGAUUUGUGCAAGGGCCCUAUAGGCCCUCACUGGCCAUAGGCAAUUGGGGACUUGCAAGCCCUUGCCUAGAUCUACCCUCGCAUGGGGUCAAUGUUUACCAUCACCAAGGCCUCAAUGUCUUGCUCAAGAAAGAAAAUGAACAGCAGAGAAGGAGAUGAUAGGAAAAGAAAGAAAAAAGAAAAAAAGAGGAAAGGAAAAAAGGGAAAAAAUCUGAAAUAAUAACAAAAAAUUGCAAAAUGACGUUUCAUUUAAGAUCAUCCAUGUCAAUUGCGAAUCAUGCAACGUGGCCUACCUUGUUGGAUGCAGUAGAUUUAGGAUAUUUUGAAUAUUUUUCUCUUGUUAAAUAUGCCUGAUUUAUUUGAUAUCCUAAAAUUUGUCAACUUUGUGAAAUCAAGUUCUAAAAUUUGUUGGCAUUUUUUUCAUAUUGGAUGAAGUUAAUGAAAUGACUUGAUUACAACUACUUGAUAAGUUUUAUAACUUGAUUGUAAUUUUUGAAAAUUGUAGGACUCAGUUGCAUCUCUGUAAUAAGUUUUAAAACUUGAUUACACUAUAUGUAAUAAAUUUUAAGAUUUUCAGUAUAUUUAUCUCUAAAAUAAAUAAAUAAAUAGGGCCUACCCCCUUUACAUGAACUCUUUAAUUUAAACGCACCAUGGAAUUUCCUGUCCUUUUACACUGUUUCAUUAACUAAGAAAUUUUUUUUUUUUUGGGGUUAAAACCAAGAUUUAAUUCUUUCUUUUUUUUUUCUUUUGGACGAGCCAAGAUUUAGUUCAAAGAUAGAUAUUUCCAGGAGAAAAAAUUUCAGCAAACUAUGCAAGGAUUUGCAAAAGAUCGCAACAAUAUUACCGGAAGCAUAUAAUUAUUUAUCACUGACAAAUGAUAUAGUAAAAAUUCUUUUAGUAGUUUACCUUAAGUUUAGCAAGAUCUGCUUAUUCGGCAGCCUUGAGUUUCUUCGAUUCCUUCUCUCUUGCCUUCAAACAGAUAUAGAAAUGCAAUGCAGAAUAUCAAGACAAAUUGCCAUUGACAAAGCUGUAAAAGCCUACUCAAUCGAGCAAAACUGGGACAGUUUUUCCAGUGAUCUUGACCACCUCCGCAGCAUGCCGUGGAAAUAGAUAGGAACACAUGCAGAGGGACAAGCUGAUUAUUACUUGCUUUUAGUCAAGCAUUCGAAACUGUAAGAUUCAUGCACUAUAAGAUAGCCAGACAAGCGAAAAAAUGAUGGGCAUUUCAGUUGAGGUGUCAAGAGCAAUUAGAUUGAAUUCAAACCAAAUAAAGCUUGACGCAGAAAAGAGAAAUGUUGUGCAUUGAGCGAAUAUAUGACAAAAUAAGUGCAAAGAGAGUCAUGGAUGUUCUAGCGCUUUGGCCAAUUGAGUUCUUAAAAUUUUACUUUGCUUAAUUGAAUCCUCAGCAUUUUCAAUUUCAGUCAAUUGAGUCCCUCAACCUUGAUCCUCGGAAAUAGUCACAUGGCUAUGAUUUUCCAAGUUGAUAAGAAGAUGCUCGAGAAGACAAGCGGGUAGGAGGUGAAAUGGGACCUAAGUGUAAGUUUUACUAUUUCAAUAACUACAACUGAUCUGACAGAAGAUUGAACUUUCAUGGAUCUGGCACUUCGUUUGAAGCUAUACAAACAGAAAUCAGCGGGCUCAAGAACCCAAUCUUUUAGAUAGUUUCUGAAUUAUCACACAGAAAAGCACUAGGAUAUCUUUACGCAUUCACUUAUUUCCUCUGUAAACUCACAGUUAUUAAAGUAUAUUAGGCAUCAUUUAUUUGUAGUACAUUAGGUACAGAUGUCCUCUCUUUGAGAUUCCCUCUUUUCCUCUUCUUACGAUCAGCUUUGCCAGAAGAUGUUUCCAACUUCCGACAUUGAUGAUGUCAUUUCAAGGAAUUCUCAAUGUUGAUCACAAAUCAGUACUUAACAUCUCUCUUGAUGAGCCCCUCAAGGGCUUCAUAGGCAUAAUCGAUUGGUAUCACUUCGAUUUCUUGGUAUAUGUGCUGUGCCGCACAGAGGUCUACCAUUUCUUGGAUAUACUUCAUUCCUCCAAUAGCGCUACCCAAAACUGUUUUCAAAACUGCAAAAAGUUCACUGUGAGCAACUUAGUUGGUUCGCCUAUCAUGUAUCAAUAUUUCAUUCAGUAAUGAGCUUUGAGAACAAAAACAUACCAAGGUUAAGGCUUGCCGCACUGAAUGUAAUUUCGCUUUGGGACGCAACCAAUGCUAGAACCCAUCUUCAAAAGAGACAUGUAAGGAUCAAAUAGGUGAUUAGCAGAUGCCGUGUCAAUUAUAAAGUCCAUGGACUUAGCCAUGGCCUGCAUGUAUUGGAAUCAUCAGAUCACGGCAGCACUUGACCUCCAUGGAUCCAAAGUAUUGAUAAUUCCAAAUCUUCCCAUUUGCCUUCAUCUGAAAUGGUCAGCACCAAGCAAGCUCAGUGCUUCCUCCUUUUUAGAAAUGCUUGUACUAAACACAGCGACUUUCAGUCUAAAAGCCUUCCCAAGUUUAAUUGCCACGUGACCGAGCCCACCGAGUCCAAUUACGCCGAGAGACUUACCCGGUUGGUUCAUCUUGUGACGCACCAUUUGAGUGUAUACUGUGAUUCCAGCACAGGGCAAUGGUGCUGCUAAAGCCAAUGGGUAGUUUUCUGGAAUCCUGAAGCAGUACCUGUCAAUGAAGCACCACAAUUAAGUUUCCAAAUCACACCAAAGGAGUAAGGGAUUUCCCAAUAGAAUCAGCAUCCCAUCUUUUUUGUAUAACAGGAUUCAAAUCACAUUUUACUUGCUUAGAGCACAAUUCAGCAUCAUGUGGUUUCUGUGAUUCUUUUUCUGACCACAAAUUGCUUAAGACGAAAACUUCUUGUUGUAGCGACGAAAGUAAAGCCACUGCAACAUAUAGGAGGCCAUACUCGAUCAAAAUUGAGAAAAGAGGCUUGCUCUUAACAGAGGACACUGGAAGCAUAUUGCAUGUGCAUGACAGAUCAUGUAAUUUCUCUAUUCCCCUCAAUCAUGUCUCUAAGGGACACGAUAUUCCCGCGACUGUUGGAUACAAGAAUUCGUGAAAGCACGUAAAUUUUAUUACCCAUUUGAUCUAACACUUACUAUCUAACUCUUGGAAACAAUCUACAAAAAAGGGAGGAAGAGGAGACAGAAGGCGAGAAUUGAGCAAUUUCCAUCUCUCUCUCUUUUAAUUAAGGGUUAAUAUCCUAAAAAAUCCCAAACCGGUACACGUGACAAAUUUACCCCGAUGGACUAUAAAAAAAACCCUAAACUUAUAUAUUUAUGACAAAUUUACCCCAAACUAAUUUAUUCGACGGCAAAAAACCCGAAAAUGGUAAAUUUGUGACAAAUAUACCAUCUGCUAAACUGAAUUAAUAUCACAAAAAAAUCACAAAAAUUGUAAACUGUGACAAACGGGGCGUAAAAUUUCAAAUUGGUAUACUAGUCAACUGUCACGUGUCAUUUAACUUAAUAAUUUGACAGUAAAAUUUAACGAAAACUAACAGAGGGUAAAUUUGUCACAAGUAUAACAGUUUAGGGUAAAUUUGUCAAAUGUAUACCAGUUAGGAGUUUUUGGUGGUUAAAAAAAUAGUUUGGAGUAAAUUUGUCACAUGUGUAUCAAUUUUGGGUUUUUUAGGAUAUUAACCAUUUAAUUAAUUUAGUUUUCAAUUUUAUUUUAUUAAUUUUUCAUGAAAAAAUCAUAUAUUAGAUUUAUUGGCUCACAUGUCAUUGUCACUUGAUGUGUAUGAUAUAUAGAAUAGUCCAAGAAAUUUGACUUUAGAUACUUGGGAACCCGUGAAUGGUCAUACAUUGUCGGUUACACAUUCAACAUGAUGUAUUAGCUAAUCAUAGUCCUCUAACGGUUUAUAUUUGCUUAAUAUAUUUCAAGAAUAUUCAUUUGUUAGACUUGUCUGCUCACACGCCACUGUCACUUGAUGUAUAUGAUAUGCAGAAUAGUCUAAGAGCUUUGACUUUAGAUACUUGGGAGUGUCUAUGCUUGUUUUAUGUCUGUUAUGCUUGCAAUGCUUCUUGUUUUGAGUGGACAGUACAAAUAUUUAAGUCCGUGUCAAUUUGAACAAUUUUCUUUAUUAUAGAGCAACAAUCUUUAAUCUAUUGUGUUCUUGACCACAAAAAACCAAAUAACAAAUAAGUAUAAACUAUUGUAGGGUCCAACGACAAUCUUUAAUCUAUUGUGUUCUUGACCACAAAAAAUCAAAUAAUAAAUAAGUAUACACUAUUAUAAGGCCCACUCCUUUAAAAAUUUGUUGCUCACAACAACUUAUUUAUUCUCAUAAUAACCCAAAGUUAUGCUAGCAAAGCUCUUUUUAGUAAGUGUAUUGAAAGUUUUAAAAACUUGUCACUAAAGUGCAUUGAGUCCUAAAAUUUUCAAAAAAAUGCAAUUUAAUCUUAAAAUUUGUCAUGAAAUGCAACUGAGUCUUAAAAUUUUCAAAAAGUACAAUCAAUUAUAAAGAUUUAUCAAAAUUGGUCCAAUUUAAGUCAUUCCAUUGAUUGUAAUUUUUGAAAGUUUUAGAGCUCAACUAUGCUUUCCUAACAAAUUUUAGGACUUAAUUAUACUUUUUGAAAAUUUUAGAACUUAACUGUAAUUUAUGAUAAGUUUUAGGAUUUUUAGUAUACUUAUCUUUUUUUUUUUUUUCACCUCAUUAAUCUUUUUAGCAACAAUGAGCUUGACAUGUCUCUGUUUUCAAGAUUUCAGUGGCUAGGGAAAACAAAAGGGAUGUCCUCUAAUGAAUCAACAAUCUUCCUGCCAUGACAAUGCCGGAAGAGAGAUGAGUGUCCUACAUAUUUAUCAAAAAUGUUCAUGUUAUAAUUGGUAGGCAUUCACUCUGCCAACGUGCAUGAACAUUUCCGGAGAUGAAACAUUCGUGAGGAGCCAGUAAAGACAUCCUGCUAUUUAAACCGGCAAAGGGAUAUCAAGCUUGCUCUAUUGGCAAGUAUAUUGUCGUCAGAUCAGCCUAAUUAAUCCGAUAUUUUUUCAUACAAAAAAUCGUCAUCGAGGCCAACUUAAUCCAAAAUGCCAAUGGACAGGCUUUGGUAAGCUAGUGGAUAGGUAUGCCGCUUUAUCUUAUGUCGUGCUAUCUCACGAGAGAUGGUGCUGCGUUCUCUUUAGAAUGCACAUGACUUGGGAUAGGAAAACCUUAGGAUCCGACUAGGAGGAAGGAAAAAAGCAAUCUAUUGUCGGGCCAAUACAAGAUCAUUUCAUGUCAAACUCCGCAGUCUUGAGGCCAUGGAAUCUACGACAAACUUGCUCAUUCACAAGGACUGAGCAAAUAAAUGAUAAAAUAAGAGCAAUAGUCGUCAUUGAUCGUCUACCCUUUGAUUGAUUGGAUUCUAAAUAUUUUAUUUUCAAUUGGGGUCUAAAUAUUUUAUUUGAUUCAAUUGACUUCUAAACAUUUCCAAUUUUAGUCAAUCAAGUCCCUCGAAUAUUAACCGCGGAAAGAGGCACAUGGCUGUGAUUUUACAAGUGGCUAAGGAGAUGCUUGAGGAGAAAACCUGUUAGGAGAGGCGAAACCAUUCCAGCAGAACUCUCAAGAAGCCAAUUUUUCAGACAGUUUCUCAAUCAUCACAUAGAAAAGUACCAGGAUUUCAUUACCCAUUUCACUUAUUUCUGCUAUAAAACUCACGAGUAUCGAAGUAUAUCAGGCAUAGUUUAUUUGUACUCCAGCAGAACAACUAAAAAGGCACAGAUAAUGCUCUCCUCUAGCUGAAACUCCCACUUUUCCUCUCUGUGUGAUCAGCUUUGCCAGCAACAAUUUCCAACUACCCAAAUUGAUGUUGAAAUUUAAUCAAAUAGACUCAGAGAAGAAAACCCGCAAGAGAAUUGUUGCUGUAACUUUCGUUAAGAAAACCCACACGAGAAUUGUUGCUGUAACUUUCGUUAUUUUAUUCAUCAGAACAUAAGCCUAUUAAAUAGGCAGAACAUCCAAACCACUUAGCAAGAAAAUAGCUAUAGAACAACAACAACAAAGACCCACUAACAUACCCCACUAACCAGAACAUAUGCAGAAACUAACUCCUAAAAACAAGCCACUUCCUAUUGACUAGGACUCCACUAUUACAUUAUUGAAGACACAUAAAAACAAAGUUAACUACUUCAACAAUUGAUGGUGUCACUUCAAGGAGUUCUCAAUGUCGAUCACGAAUCGAUACUUAACAUCUCUCUUGAUGAGCCUCUCCAGAGCUUCGUUGGCAUAAUCGAUCGGUAUCACUUCGAUGUUUGGGUAUAUCUUCUGUGCUGCACACAGGUCUAUCAUUUCUUGGGUAUCCUUUGUUCCUCCCGUUACGCUACCUGAAACAGUUCUCAUAUCUGCCAAAAGUUCACCGCAAGCAACUUAGUUCACCUAUCAGGUAUAAAAUUUCAUUUAGUAAUCAGAUUUGAGAACAAAAACAUACUGAGGUUAAGGCUGGCUGGACUGAAUUUAACUUCGCUCAGGAAGCCGACCAAUGCUAGAAUGCCACCCGUCUUCAAAAGAGACAUGUAAGGAUCAAAUGGGUGAUCACCGGCUGCCGUGUCGAUUAUAAAGUCCAGGGACUUAGCAAUGGCCUGCAUGCAUUGGAUUUAUCAGAUCACAACAGAAUUUGACCACCAUGGAUCUCAAUGUGGAUAAUUCUAGUUUUUCCUCUUUUUACCUUCAUCUGCUCUAGGUCAGAUGAGAUAACGAAAUGGUCAGCCCCAAGCAGGCUCAGUGCUUCCUCCUUUUUAGAAAUGCUUGUACUGAACACUGUGACUUUCAGUCCAAAAGCCUUCCCAAACUUAACUGCCAUAUGACCGAGCCCGCCAAGUCCAAUUACACCUAGAGACUUACCAGGUUGGUUCAUCUUGUGACGUAUCAUUGGAGUGUACACCGUGAUUCCAGCACAGAGCAAUGGCGCUGCUAGAUCCAUCGGGUAGUUUUCUGGAAUCCUGAAGCAAUACCUGUCAAUGAAGCACCACAAUUAAGUUUCCAAAUAACACCAAGAGAGGAAGUGAUUUCCCAAUAGAAUCAGCAUCUUGUCUUUGUUGUCUAAAAGGAAUCAAAUCACAGAGCCAGAAAUCCUAUCUUCUGCAUGCUUGGGAAUUUUACUUGCUUAGACCACAAUUCAGCAUCAUGUUGUUUCUGUGAUCCUUGUUCUGACCACAAAUUGCUCUAGACAAACAUUUCUUGCUGUAGCAAUGUAAAUAAAGCAAUUGCAGAAUACAGGAGGCCACACUCGAUUAAAAUUAAGAAAAGACACUUGCUCUAAGAAAGGAAACUGGUGGCAUAUCACAUAUGCUUGACUGAACACGUAAUUUCUCUAUUUCCUUCAAUCAAUUUCUCCAAGGGACACAAGAUUCCUGUGGCUCUAUCAGAUACAAGAAUUAGUGAAAGCACAUACAUUUAGCUACCCAUUUGAUCUGAUACUUAUGAUCUAACUCUAACAAUCUAAGGACAGCUUAUUCCAUUCCUGACAAUGGUUAUUGAAAAGAAAGAAUUUCUUUUUGCAUUUAAUAAAGCCAAUUCUCCAUUGAAUGGUUUGAAUGGUAAUUAGAUACAAAGGACUUAAAGACUCUCCAGAGCCGUUAUAGAAAGUAUCUUUAUCCCUUUCCACAAGAUGCAAUUAAUACCUAAAAGCCAUUCCUCACAGUCCUAUGCAUUAUGCCACUUCUGGUCACAAUCAGAAAUUCAGAAUACAAAGAAAAUUAGCAGAGAAGAAGACAUGACAUGAAAUCUUUUUUUGGCCACCAUGAUUUGGAAUUCUGUCACAGUGCAAAAUGCUGCCUAAUAACGCUGUGUCAAUAAGCAAUUACCUUUCAUGGAUGACAAUGUGACUAGAAUAUCCUCCCUUUGUGACUGUACCGUCCGCAUCGAUUCCAUCAAAAGUCAAAACCGCCUUUUCACAUUGGGUUUCUAGCCUGUCAUUGCAAUACUCACACUCUCUGCAUGAAUUGACAUAAGUUCCCACCCCCACAUGAUCGCCAACUUUGAAGCGUUGGACACUGGAGCCAACCUGUUUCACAAUUCCAACUAUCUCGUGCCUGAAUCAAUCAAAAAAAUCAUUUGCAAAUUUUGUUCAGAGAAUUAUGAGGAUGGUGCUAAGAAAAAAAGAUUAACAUUUGAAUCACGCUGCAUCCUACCCUGGCACCAGAGGAUACUUGGAGUGUCCUUGCACAUUCCUAGUCCAAGCCACAUCUGCAUAGCACACUCCACAGUGCGUGAUCUUAAUCGAGACGUCUUCGCUUCCCACGGCCCUAAAGAGAUGAUUCCCAAACAGGUGAGCAUAUAAUCCAGUGACUAAUCAGACUAGGGUACCUUUUUUUUUCCAUUUUCAAGAUCAACAAACUAAGCUUGACCUACGAUUAUCGAGAAAACAAGAAACCAGAAAUGAGAAAAGGAAAAAUUCCAUGACUGCAAGCAUAUUUGUCCAUACGCUAGAUACAACCUCAAAUGCUCAGAAAGGCAGCCAGUACAGGAUCCUCAUGUCUGCCAUGAAAUUCUGAGUAACCCAUUACCAACAAUUCUCGACCCAGAAUUCAGCGCAUACACAACAAAAGAAAGAACGAAAAAAUGAAAUGGUCUGGACCGAAAACUGUCUCGCGUGAACACUGUACUGAGACUCUCGCAUGAACACUUUCGGUAGAAAUCGAAAAAGAAAAAAAAAUGGCAAUACCUGCGGGUGAAUUUGUAGGGGGAGAGGAACCCAGAAGGGUCCCGGGCAGCCCAACCGAGGCAAUCCUCCUUCCCACCCUCCGAGCUCAUCUUCUGUACCUACACACCCAGCGAAGCAAUCACACAAAUGGGUACGGUUAGAUUCAUCCAAAGGAGAAGAAGAAAGGGUGAGAACUCGAACGAGAAAGUGCCCAAGAUCAGAGACUCAACGGGUCAUCACUCGGCGAGGACUCGAGUCACAACGAGCUCGCCAUCACUCACCAACUCACUCACUCACCCACACCCACCUACCCAAACACAACCCCACGGGCCACAGCAACUCAGAGAGAGAGAGAGAGAGAGAGAGAGAUGACUACGGAGAUGGAGAUGAAGAGAGGUUACGCUGUGGAGUAUGCAGGAGCGCGAAGAGGGUGACGAGCCGAGCACAGUCGAGGACGGGAGGUUCAACGAAGACUUUUUUGCCCCCUCCUACUUCGCAGGAAAGCUGCGAGUAAUCCGAUGGAUUUUAUAGCGUUGGCCCGAGAUAGUUACGAAAAUAUUGGAAGGAAAAAUUAUCCGAAACUUUAACUCAACAUGUACCGUGAUCUAUAAGGAAAAAUAUAGUAUAUAGAAAUGAAAGAUGAGUAGAAAAAGAAAUGGACGAUUGCUGUCAAAUUAAAACUAUUCCCAAGUCAACUUGUCGGUCCCUUUCCUUCCAUUAUAAUCCUUUUUUAUAAUGUAACUGAAGAUUACUGGCUUUGUCACAACCAACGUAAACCCUCCAAAAGGUAAAAGAACUUAUGCAAAAGUAUAAAAAUGAAAGAUGUGUUGAAAAAAUGAGGACAAUAACCAAACGCGUGCAACUCAAUUGCACUUUUCGAUAAGGAUAAACUGUACCUCUCCUCAUCAUUGAAAGAGAUGGGAUUAAAUGCCUCUCCUCAUCAUUGAAAGAGAUGGGAUUAAAUGCAGACGUGAUUGACAUAGAGAUUAUCACAAGAAAUUAAAUAAAAAUAAGUCUUUCUUGGUAACGAGAUGUUUGUUCUCGUGACCGUGUAGGUCUUUCUAGGUUCUCUGACGCGUGCCAUGAGGUCAUGGCAUGUUAUGCAACCAAAUAUAUCCAUUCUAUAUUUCUAUGGUAACUAUCCAUCGUUACCUCCUGUGAACCUAAGAAGAACAAAACCAAUCCAUAAAGCUGUGGAGGAUCAAGAACAACCUGCCAUAAGUUAUUGAUGAACUCAGUUAAUUGUUCGAAGCCUUAGAAGCGAAUCAUUAAAACUUUAAGCAACUAAAAUGUCAGAUGCCAAACAGAAGGAAAAUCUACAGAGCCAACAUCUGGAUCGGAUCAAUGAUGGCAUAUCAACAACUAAGGGAAAAAUCUGCUACUAAAUAUUUAUCUGAAACUAGAGGAUGACGUUGCACUUGCAUAACUCCGUUAACGCAGAUCAAUGGUCAUGCUCUGUCUAGCUUUGUUAGAAGUUUGAAAACUCUACACGGACAGGCACUAUUUGCAAGAAGACGUGUUCCCUAUGCUCAUCUUUGUACUGAGCUGGAAAUGCUUUUAGCAGAUAGCUGUGCCUCCAGAAACAAAUCGCAUGAAGUGGCCCACAAUUCUCUGGCAAGUCCGGUGUCGUACGAAACUGAAGAAGAGUUGAUAGUCCGGCCCCUCCCACCAAAGAAAUACACACCAGAAAUUUCCUAUUUUUGCAAGACAGCGGCUAUUAGUAAGCACUGUUCCAACAUAUAAUAGCAGCCACAUAAGAUUGAUACCAUAGAUUAUCAGCAGAGAAGGGAAAAUCAAUUCUGGAAACAUACUGUCAUACCGUAGAAUCAACAUUAAUGGAUUUUACGUCCAAUGUUAGUGUGACCUCAGUUGAGGAUAAAACGAGAGAGACUCAUUCAAGAUGGUUCAGAUAAGUGAAGCACCAGUACAGGAAUGCUUUACACCAGCCUAUUUAGUGGGAAAAGAUCACUAUCACCCAUAAAUGCAGCUGUGGUUGCCUAUUGAGAUGAAACCCAGGUGAUUUCAUUGCAGUCCCAUCUAGCAUAUAGCAGAAAUUAAAGAUAAUGAUUGCAGUCAGAAAAACUCACAGGAGGGGCAAGGGCUGCAUCCAGAACUGAGUUGACCGCACCUUCAGGUGAAUCCAAAAGACCCAUUGCAGUUAAAAAUGCAAAAGCUGUGUAGGACAGGUAAGGGGGAACUUCUCGCAUGAUACUGGUUUUCACUACUCCAGGAUCCACAGCACUGGAAAUAAAAAAGAAACAGGAUAACAUCUCAAUUGUGCUGCCAGCAUGUAUUCAUACACAAAACUUUAGAGAAAGACAAUCUACAAAGCCUAAGUACAUUUUCUUGUUUAUAAUCAACUAGUAUAGUAUCUCUGAUAACAAAAACCAGGUUUUCAACUAAAAAGGGAUAGCUCAUAGAUUUGUGGAAAGUGGUAAGUGGAAAGUUCAAAUUCAACUACCAUACAAACUUAAGGGUGAGAUUACACUGUCCUACAAGAAUGCUUAAAUCCAGAGUGGCAGGAUUGUUGAUACAUACAGAAUGGAAACAUGACAGGAGCUUUCCAAGCGAAGGCGUCGAUGAAGUUCAUAUGAGAACAGCAGAAGGCAUACUGUAAACAAACAGGAAACUCUUACUAAAGUUUGUGAGAAGAUGUGACAUUUGCUUCUCAAAUAUUGCUGUAUCUUUUAUUCUAUCCUUUCCUUUUUGGUGCUAGGCUUCUCGAAUAAAACAUGAAACUUACAUUUUGAAUAACCAUAGAUCUGUGCACAUGGAUACUGUUUCAUCCUGAAGGAACUCUUCCCAAUAACACUUUCCUUGUCAAAUGUCGCACCACAUACUGAAGAAGAGGAGAACCGAGGAAAAGGAGAUUUUAAAUAAAUAAAUAAAAACUAUGACUCUAAACCUAGUAUAACAAUUGCACUAAAACAGAAACUGCACAGAGAAGUUGGACAGCAAGAAACUACAAGCAAACAAUACCAACUAUUUGACAUCAUAAAAGAGUUCUGUAACUUAGACAUUGAGUACAGCUAUAUUGCAUGUUCUAGUUUUAGCUUGCUAUCUCAGGCACUGUUAAAGUCCUAGAUGGGCACCAUAUUUAGUUCACUAAUUGAAUGAAAAAAUGACAUGCCAUAAGGGUCAGCAAGCCCGGGUUUCACAGAGGAACCUCCUUGCAGGCUGGCCACCGGCUGCAAUCAGUGUUCCACAGAUAAAUGGAAGUGUUUCUGACCACAAAGUGAAAAUAUCUUACCGCUUCGAUGUGUAAAGGACGUGACAUUGACUAUCCGGGAUGGAACAGGGCUGUUUCUGAGAAGUGGUAAUAAAUGCUUUGUCAAAAAGAAUGGUCCCAUGUAGUUCGUUGCCAUCAUCCUGGUGCAUAAAGAGGUGGAGAGAAGAAUCAACAGGAGAUCAGGCAACAAUGCAUUAUGAAAGACUGCAAUUAAUAAAUUCCAUUCCAAAAAGAGAAAAGCAAAACAGUGGGAGAUGCCACUUGCUACCGUGGCAACAAAUCUCCACAAGUAAACUACAAGUUGACAAGGUAUAUAGGAAAAUCAAAAUCACUAGAACAUUAGACUUUCAAUUGGGAAAGUGACGACACUAUUAUCGUUACUUAUUUAGAAAUUAGAACAUAUGCAUCUCAUUAGUUAAAUCUAAAACAACAGAAUAUAUAUUCUCCACUGUGACUGCUGUAGUGUUUAGAUUGCCAAAUAUUUGGAUCUUUGGAAAGAAUAUUGCAAAAAAAUUCCCAUGGCAAUAAGAUAAUUACUCAUCGAAGCCUUCAGCUGUAAUUCUGUAGGAUGUUGCCAACAUUCCAGCAUUAUUUAUCAGAAGCUGGACUGAGGCAUGCAUAUUUGAUUCCAACAGCCAUUGCUCAAGGGAGCAUCUGAAGUGUAAGAUUGACUCGAUAGAUGAUAUAUCAGCUUGAAAAGCUUUAAGAUGGGCAUCCUUAUUGUGUUUACAAAUCUCUGCCACUCUCUGUGACCCAAAAAAAAAAAAAGAAUCAUUGAGAGCAUCAUGUAGAGCAAAGAAGCUAAAACGGAUGCCGCACAACAAGUACCUCUGACAACCUGUGAGCAGACCGUCCAACUGCAGAGAAAGCAUAAAUUUCAGUUAAAUAAUUGUACCUGCAUGGAUCAAAACUCAUUCUUCUUGUAACAAAGAAAAGAUGCAUUUUGCAUUAACUCUAAGGACAACAAACAGUCAUUCGUACAUUAUUUGUCACAUUAAGCAAUUGACAAGCUUUUCUCUUUGCUUGAAUCACCAAGUAAAGACCAGAGAACAUUCAUAUAUCUACCCAUAACUCUUCCUAUGAGAGUGUUCAUCACAGACUGGUGGCAUUUAUGUAGACAGCCUAUUUUUUUUUCCUCCUAAUGUAGCUAUCAUCAGGAUGAUCCAGCACAAGCAAUCACAGAAAAUCCAGGCAUGGGGUUGAACUAAGUGUUGCUACAUCCAUAUCAAAGGAAUGAGGAGGAUAAACCACAGACUGCGACAUUACCAAGGACAACAACGAAACCUUCUUUUGAAAGAGCAUAAGCAGCCGCUGCACCCAAACCAGAUGUAGCCUGCAGGCAAAAGGCAGAGAAAGCUCUCAGUAGGAUAAUCUAAUUGAGGACAUUUGCUACUAGCAAAAGAAAUCCGUCUUACGCCGGUGAUAAUGCAGAGAGGUCUCAGAGGAACUUCUAUGUUGGCAUUUCGAGGGUAUGAAACAAUUCGACCAAAAAGACCACGGCUGAAGAAUUGCCAGUAUGAGGCCAGCAAAGAGAACGUCCAAAGUACUGCCAUUAUCCAGAAGUCUACUGUACAAAUGAAACAAAAAGCCUCGACCAACUCCUUUGACAUUAUUCUCAUCUUUGCCACCAUGGACUUCUUACCUGUGUUGGCAAAGUGAAAACAACAAAACAAAUUCAGGAUACUAAUAAAUCCAACAGAAAAGUAUAUGCGCACGGUAAAGUCCUAAAGUUUAUUGGAUUAGGUAGUGGAACUCGAAUUUAAAUCAAGUGAAUGUCACAAUUAAGUACUGGAGAGACCCAAUCUACGGAGAAAACACGCACCCUUACAUGACCAGUGCAGCAAAAUGAGUGCCUUGUUAUUUGACAGUCAGAGUUGAGACCUCAGUGUUCAGUCUACAGGAAAAGUUUUAGCAACCUCGAGAGAGGUAAGAACUAGGCAGAUCUCACUAUGCAACCAUAAAUCAACUAACUUCAGGUGUACUUUCAAACAAAUUCUUUGACCAAGCAUCUGAGGGAAAUCAACAAUACAGAGUUCAACAUUCUAGUUCGUAAAUACUUUGGCCUUUUCAUUGUCAUGUAUGAAUGACGGUUUCCCUAUUGUUUAGAAUGUACAGCUUUGAAGUGUCUUAAUGCCACCUUGUCUUCCCACCACAGCAAACACAGACCCAGGUAAAGGAAUCAAAUGUUAAAUCCAGUCUUAAUAAAUUUACACAUCACAACACACAACCCAGUGAGCUUACUUCAUCGGUUAGAGUCACCAUGCUCACCCAGAGUAACAAGCACACCAUCAAAAGUAAGAUUAACAGAGAUAGCAAAUGAUAUAGCUUGUUUCAAAAUGAAAUUCUGUUCAUUUCCAAGCUCCAGACUUUCCACAUCAAAGCUUGACGUCUACUCACCCUAAACAGACGCAGCUAUAAAAUUAUCAUCUACCAGCAGAACUCGUGAAAUUCCACACAAUUCAAACGGGCCUACACGCACGUCACCGACCUAGACACGUUCCCUAUUAAACAUUAAACAAUCACCACCCCAAAUCAUCUCCAAGCUCAACGUCCUCACCAUGCAACAGCUCCAGAGCUCCAAAAAGACCCAACAAGUUUUUCGCCAACCUUCACGUCAACUCAAGCUCCCCCGCUCACUUCCUCCCUGACAAUACACACCCCCCACGAAGCGCGCUCUAAGAAGCAUUACGUCAAACACAUUGGGGACAUCGAAACUCCGGGCAGAGUUCUCCCACGAACCCAACGCAAAUGGGCAUCCACGAAAACAGGAACUUGCAGAGAGGCGAACGCGGGCGCUCGUGCAGAUCACUGUAAAGCUAUUGCAACGAAACGUGAAGGGUUGCGCCGGAAACGAAAGGGCGACUCACGGGGAACGUGAAAGGGUCGAAGGAACGAAGGAAGGCGAGAGCAGAGACGGGUCGCCUCGACUCGACACGGUUCUCGUCGAAACCAGGAGAGUCUUGAGAUUGACUGGAGGAAAAAUCCGAGCUUUACAAAAAGUUAGAUGCAGGAUGAGACGAACAUCCGGUUCUUCAACCCGAGUAAAAGCGUUGACACUAAGGGCAAACUUUUCCUUGCAUAUUAGGGAGAAUUAAGUGGGAAAUUUUCGUUUAUCGAAUUCGCCAACAUGUUUUCCAAAAAAAAAAAAAAGGAAAAAAAGAAAUCACUAACGUAAUUUCAUUCACUAUCACCCCUUUUGAAAAAUCAAAUCCAUGCAUGGGACCGAUUAAAUUUCAUUCGUCAAUCAGUACUCUUUUGUAUGAGAACUUGAAGAAAGAAUGACUCGCAAAAUACAUAAAAAAAAAUGGAACAUCACAAGAUAUGCAAAAAUUACUGUAAAAGAAUCAUAGAUUACAUGUUCUAACAAAAAGGAAUCAUUUAUUGCAUUUGUGUGAUGUAAACUAUACUGGAAUUAUUUCUUGUAAAUCUUGAGAGUGGUAGUAAUUGUGUCAACAUUUGGAAUCCUAUUAGGGAUAAAUAUAUUGAAAAUAUUAAAAUUUGUCACGAAGUUACAAUUUAACCCUAAAAUUUGACCAAAAAAAAAAUUCCAAUCAAAUUCUAAAAUUUGUUACAAAGUGUAAUUGAAUUUUUAAAACUUUUAAAAAGUACAUUCAAGUUCUAAAUUUUAUUAACAUUUUUCGUUUGUCAAAUUUGAUGGAGUUUAGGAAAAUACUUGAUUAUAUUAACUUGUCAAGUUGGCUUGGGCCAAGUUUGGCAUACCUAUAGUCCGUCGGAUCCAUGUUAAGGUCUACUAGCUUUGACCCUCCCUAGCUUUUGGGCUGGAUUGGGUCGCUGCGCCCAGCCCUUGCAGGAUCUCUCUCUCUCUCUCUCUCAACUUUCCCUAUGUGUUUUUUGGUUACUUUAACAUUUUUAUUUGUCUUUUGAAUUAAUGAUCUCACGUGGCAUGGUUCAAAUUACUGGGGUGUCAGAACCAAAACCAAAACUAAAAUCUAACCGAAAUUUCAUGCAUUUUUUAUUUGAUUUGGUUUUGGUUAGGAUAAUAGAAAGAUAACGGUUAUUUGUUUUCGAUUUGGUGAAUCGAACUGAAAUCCUUAAUACAAAUAAAUGCACAACUUAAAAUCCCUCCUUUUUCUCAUCUCUUAUUCUAUUUGAUUCCAAUGAGAAGGUAAAAAUCAAAAAACCAAAAACUGAAAACUGAAUUGAAAAUAAUCCAAUCGGAUUUUUAGUUCAGUUUGUAUUUGAUUCAGAUCGCAACUUGGUUUGCUUUAAUUACUUAUCUUAUCAGUUCGGUUUGGUUCGGACUUUAGGACAUUCGAACUAAAUCGAAACGUUGACGCCCCAUUAGCCACAUAGAUGAAGUCAUGUCUAUAAUUCAACAACGUUAAUUAUGAUGGUUGACGACAGAGUCAGCAAGAUGCAAAAGAUAUAGAAAUACAUCAAAAGAAGGAAAAAAUAGUUAGAGGACCCAAUCGCAGGAACAUCAGUACUAUAUCGAGAACAAAAAAUUGCUAUGAACUAAAUCAUACAUUAAAAGUAGGAAACAAGGAGAACUAACACGACCGUUAAUAGCAGCAUUGACAUCUAUGUCCAUGGAGAAUUUUUCUUACGCAACUACCACAGGUGGAUCCCAGCUAAUUUGCUGUCUAUCUAAUCCCGGGUGAAAACGGUCGGGCCUUGGUUCGGAGCCGUCGAGGACACACGACCAUCCUCAACGCUCCAAGCUCGUCCUCCUCCGGCGCAGUGGCUCGGCCUCAUAUCCUCUAAGCUUCACGGCUUUGUAAGUCACGGCGCCAGCUAUGGCUCCGAGCGGAGGAGCCACCAUGUACAUCCACAAUCCUUUGUAGUUCCCUGCGGCCACGGCCGGGCCGAGAGUCCUCACGGGGUUCAGGGAACCUCCGGUCGGCAUCCUGCAUUUCCCGGGAACAUUGUUAAGGAACAUUAUGAAAGCUAAAAUUCUGUAACAACGCGUCCAUACUUGCACGCCCGAAGGUGAGUAGUUUCAGUACAAUGCUUACCCUGUCACAAGAACGCCAAGCAGCACCGUUGCUCCGAUUGCAAUACCUGCCAAAUCUCCUACCUAUCAUCAGAAAAAAGGAACAAAUGUAAGUGAAAUGGAUACAUGCUGUAUACAGAUGCCACGAGUACAGAUAGAGGAAGAGUCGAUAUGCAGCAUGGCGACGUACUGCACGAGUGUCGGUCACCACCGCGACGAUCACGAACGCGAGAAUGAAAGUGGCGAGAAACUCGAGAGCAAACGCCUGUCCGAUGUCCACCGAAGGCACCGUGACGCCGCCGUUGGCAAAGGGAUGGAAAACGCCCUUGAGGACGUAGGAAGCACACAUCGAGCCCGCAACCUGCGCCGCGAUGUAGCCAGGCACCUGGAUCCAUGGAAAGUGCCAGAUCACCGCGAGGGCGACUGUCACCGACGGGUUCAGGUGGGCUCCUGAAAUGUGACCGAUCGAGAAAACUAUGAUCAUCACGGCGAGCCCAGCGCAUGCCGCGUUCCCAAGCAACGUCUCUGCUCCGUUGUACUUUUGGUUCACAAUGGGCCCGCCCACCGCGCAAAGUACUAAGAAGAAGGUUCCAACGAACUCUGCUCCGACCUGCAUCGUUCAUGUAAAUCUAAAUAAGAAAAUCUAUCCUAUCUUUCUUUCUUGGUUUCACUCGCUAUGAAAAGGCAUAAGAAUUAUCAGUUUAUGCUGCAACAGCUAGCGAGCCUGUCUAAUCUUUACUGAUCUUUGAGGUCGAUUGGGCUUUACCUUCCGCAACGAAUCAUACUUAUCCGGCUGGAGACGCCGAACACCUUCCGUUGCACCGUCACUCGGCGCACACCACUUGCACUGUACCACGGACCCGUCCUCCGGCAACGAUGAGUCCACUUGCAACGUCACAGAUGCCGGUUGGCACAUCUUCUCUUGCCUGGACAGCUCGAUGGAGAUUAAGGGAGACCAGAGGUCGCGAAUAAAGGAUCAAGAGAUCGAUGAGAAGAGAGAUCAAGACGAGAGGGAGCCUUCAGUCUGUUGCCUCCGUCUAUGAUAGUUGAUUGCAGCGACCCCAAAAGCAUUUUAUAGGAGAGAAGACAACGGCUUUAACAUCGCCAACAUCAUCUUCUUGUUCACUAGUUCGGCUUGUUGACUCGCUCCAUAGGAUUCGGUCAUUCAUAGUAGUUCGGACUGUCUGCACCUUGACUAGAUCUAGGGUUACUCUAUACAAGUAAUGAUUUGACUCGGUUUGGCAUGCUCAGAAAAACUUGGAGGGCACGUUUCUAUUUCUGAAAUUUAGGUGUGCAAGUCUACAUUUGUGGACCAGAUAUUGAAUAUUUAAGACCGAUUCUAUAAAGAGAAGAUCCAUCAAAACGUAUUUUCUUUUUUUUGUUUGGGGGGGAAGAGUUAAGGGCUGCGUUUGUUUUGAUUUCUUUUUUCUGUUUUUAAACAAUUUUUUUUGUUUUUUUGUUCCUGGGAACAAAAAAGGAACAGAAACGCGUUUGUUUGCAUUUUUAUUCCAAAAUUAUUUUUUUGUUCCCAGAAACACAUCUGGAACAAAAACAAGAAACAAAAAAAAAAGUUGUUUCUUGUUUCUGGAACAAAAUUUAGGAACACUUUCUUCUUCUCUCUUUUUUCUUCUUCUUUUCUUCUUCUUUUUUCUUUCUUUUUUCUUUGGCCGGUCGCCGGCCUCAACAAUUGAACCUUCUCAAACUGUUUCUUCUUAAGAACCAAAAAUAUUUGUGCCAAAAUAACAGAUGCCAAGAAGAACAAAAGGCCUUGGACACGGAAUGGAUCUUGAAGUACUAUUUCCGCAUCUCCUUGACCAAAUCCACCCACAUUAGGAUUACUCGUUAAUGGCUGAUCAAGUUUGAUAGAUUCGCCUUCGGAAACAAGAAGUUCUGGCCCUGGUGGAAUAAUAUCAACCACUUGACGUUCAUCUGACGCAUCCGAUAUGGUUAUUUCGUACCCCCCUUUUUCUUUUCGUAUGAUUUUACUUACUACACCAGCCGCUGUAGCAUUAUAAACUGUAUUGUUACUCUUGCUCCCAUCGGGAUAAAUCUGACCCAUUCCUCUGUUCCCGCCUACAUAUAUGGGAUAUUUUAAGAAGUGAACAUCUUUAUUAGUAGCGGGGUCCGGGGAAAGAAUAGGAAAGGUGACUUCACUAUAUUUCUGACCAGAAACAGGACCUAUCACAAGAAUAUUUUUUUUAUUGGGGCGAUAGCUCUGAAAAGACAGAUUGCCUAUCUUUUCUUUCAUCUCGGGCGAAAUACGAUCGGGAGGUGCUAAUUCAAAUCCCUCAGGUAAAAUAAGAACAGCCCCCACAUUCAAACCUCCCAUUUUACCAUUAGCAAGAACUUGUUUAACUUGCAUAUCAUAAGGAAUUCGAACAACUGCUUCAAAUACAGUAUCAGGAAGUACCGCUUGCGGAACCUCAAUAUCCACGGGCUUAUUAGCUAAAUGGCAAUUGGCACAUACAAUACGUCCGGUCGCUUCUCGUGGAUUUUCAUAACCCUGUUGUGCAAAAAUGGGAUAUGCAUUUGAAAUGGAUGUCCGAGCUAUGAUAUAUAUCAUCAGCGAUACGGAAAUAGAUCGAAUAAUCUCUUUCUUUAUCCAAGAAAAGGUGUUUUUAGUUUGCAUGGUCCAAUCAUUGAUCCCGAAAAUUUCUACAAUAAAAUUAGGUAGGUCGCUUGUAUAGUUCCCUAUCCACAAUUCUGCUAUUUACUUUAUUGAAAUCAUUUUACUGGAAUAUAAGGAGUAGGAGAAAUCCCUGUAGGGUAGAAAGAGUAAGUACGUCUUAAAAUGGAAAUGCUUUGCUUAUGUACCUUAUGUUACAAAGUAACAAAUAUUCUAGUUAGAUCAGUCAUUCAUUGAAUGAUAAAUCACUACAAGUGAUGGAGAUAUACGAUUUAAAUAGCGGAAGAUCCAAUAUUUAAAAAUUGUAUCCAGAAUGACUGGAAAAGUAGAAACAAGACCCGAUAUAAUUUGAUCGUUGUGAGCAAAUCCAAAAUCUUUGUAGACAUAGCCAAUCAUUAGUUCCCAACCAUGGGGCGAAUGGAAUCCGAUACAUAAAUCAGUUAAUAAAAGAAUAGAAAAAGCUUUUAUUGUGUCACUUAAGUUAUAUAGGAAUUCUUGAACCCAAGAGUUAAGAAUAGCAAGUUCUUCAUUACCCAGAAUAGAAUAACCACUUAAAAUAAUGAAAGAGGUUAUAUUUGUCGAUAAGUGAAAAAUCAUAUGGAUAUGAUCCUCAUUGUGCAUCUUGAUCAAUUGGAUCGUUUCUUUGUGGAUUCCUAUACGAAGUGUUUGUAGAUGUGUUUCCGGGUAUUCUUUUAUCAUUUCGUCCAAGAGUAAGAGUUCUUCCAAUUCGAUGAAUUUUUCUAGAAUACUCUUUUCUUGAAUAUCAGUCAAAAAAGUUUCGGAUUGCCUAGUAUUCCACCAAUUAGUAAUCCAAAAUUCAAGACUUUUAUUAAAUGAGAGAGAGAUCCACCAGGGCAAAAAUACUAUAGAUGUAAGAUAUAGAAGAGGAAGAAAUGCUUUCUUUUUUACCAUUUUUUCAUCUUUGAAUUGUUAAUGAAUCCACCUCAUUUGUUGAAUCUAUGUGAUCUACUAUUUCUAUUAACCCUAAGUUCUAUUACAGGGCAUCGGGCCUCGGCCAUGGCCGGCGACCGGCAGUCGAGGGCCGGUGAGGCCGAGCGUCGCCGGCCCUUGGUGAGGCCGACCUCGCGCCGAGCUAGGCGAGCUCGGCCUCGCCGGGCCACUGCCAGGUCGGCAUCGCCUGGCAGUGGCCCGGCGACGCCGAGCCUCGCCAGCCACUGAUUGUCACUUGCUUUUAGUCAUGCAUUCAAAACUGUAAGAUUCAUGCACUAUAAGAUAACCAGACAAGCGAAAAAAUGAUGUGCAUUUCAGUUGAGGUGGCAAGACCAAUUAGAUUGAAUUCAAACCAAAUAAAGCUUGACGCAUAAAAGAGAAAUGUUGUGCAUUGAGCGAAUAUAUGACAAAAUAAGUGCAAAGAGAGUCAUUGAUGUUCUAGCACUUUGGCCAAUUGAGUUCUUAAAAUUUUACUUUGCUUAAUUGAAUCCUUAGCAUUUUCAAUUUUAAUCAAUUGAGUCCCUCAAGCUUGAUCCUCGGAAAUAGCCACAUGGCUAUGAUUUUCCAAGUUGAUAAGAAGAUGCUCGACAAUAAAACCAGGUGAGCCUCUCAAGGGCUUCAUUGGCAUAAUCAUCAGUAUCACUUCGAUUUUUGGGUAUACGUGCUACACCGCACAGAGGUCUAUCAUUUCUUGGAUAUACUUCAUACCUCCCGUAGUGCUACCCGAAACGGUUUUCAUACCUGCAAAAAGUUCAUUGUGAGCAACUUACUUUCUUCACCUAUCAGGUAUCAAUAUUUCAUUCAGUAAUGAGCUUUGAGAACAAAAACAUACCGAGGUUAAGGCUUGCUGCAUUGAAUUUAAUUUCGCUUUGGGACCCAACCGAUGCUAGAACGCCACCCGUCUUCAAAAGAGACAUGUAAGGAUCAAAUGGGUGAUCAGCAGAUACCGUGUCAAUUAUAAAGUCCAGGGACUUAGCCAUGGCUUGCAUGUUACGAUUCAUCAGAUCACGGCAGCACUUGACAUCCAUGGAUCUAAAGUAUUAAUAAUUCAAAAUCUUCCCGUUUACCUUCAUAUGUUCUUGGUCAGAUGAGAUAACGAAAUGGUCAGCACCAAGCAAGCUCAGUGCUUCCUCCUUUUUAGAAAUGCUUGUACUGAACACGGCAACUUUCAGUCCAAAAGCCUUCCCAAGCUUAAUUGCCAUCUGACCGAGCCCACCAAGUCCAAUUACGUCGAAAGACUUACCCGGUUGGUUCAUCUUGUGACGCACCAUUUGAAUGUAUACUGUGAUUCCAUCACAGGGCAAUGGUGCUGCUAAAGCCAACGGGUAGUUUUCUGGAAUCCUAAGGCAAUACCUGUCAAUGAAGCACCACAAUUAAGUUUCCAAAUCAUGUAAUUUUUCUAUUCCCCUCGAUCAUGUCUCUAAGGGACACGAUAUUCCUGUGACUGUUGGAUACAAGAAUCCGUGAAAGCAUAUACAUUUCAUUACCCAUUUGAUCUAACACUUACUAUCUAACUCUUGGGAACAAUCUAAAAAAAGGGAGGAAGCGGAGACAAAAGGCAAGGAUUGAGCAAUUUCCAUCUCUCUCUCUCUCUCUCUCUCUCUCUCUUUUAAUUAAGGGUUAAUAUCCUAAAAAAUCCCAAAUUGGUACACAUGUAACAAAUUUACCUUGACAGACUAUAAAAAACUCUAAACUUAUAUAUUUAUGACAAAUUUACCCCAAACUAAUUUAUUUGACCGCAAAAAAUCUCAAAAUGGUAAAUUUGUAACAAAUAUACCCUUCACUAAAUUGGAUUAAUACCACAAAAAGAUCACAAAAAUUGUAAACCGUGACAAACGGAGCAUGAAAUCUCAAAUUGGUAUUACUAAUCAACUGUCACGUGCCAUUUAACUUAAUAAUUUGACAGUAAAAUUUAAUGAAAACUAAUAGAGGGUAAAUUUGUCACAAGUGUACUAGUUUAGAGUAUAUUUGUCAAAAGUAUACCAGUUUGGAGUUUUUAGUGGUCAAAAAACUAGUUUAGAGUAAAUUUAUCAUAGGUGUACCAGUUUUGAGUUUUUUAGGGUAUUAACCCUUUAAUUAAUUUAGUUUUAAAUUUAAUGUUAUUAAUGUUUCAUGAAAAUUCAUAUGUUAGAUUUAUUGGCUCACAUGUCAUUGUCACUUGAUGUGUAUGAUAUAUAGAAUAGUCCAAGAGUUUUGACUUUAGAUGCUUGGGAACUCGCGAAUGGUCAUACAUUGUCGGUUACACAUUCAAUAUGAUGUAUUAGCUAAUCAUAGUCCUCUAACGGUUUAUAUUUGCUUAAUAUAUUUCAAGAAUAUUCAUUUGUUAGACUUGUCCGCUCACACGCCACUGUCACUCGAUGUAUAUGAUAUGCAGAAUAGUCUAAGAGCUUUGACUUUAGACACUUGGGAGUGUCUAUGCUUGUUUUAUGUCUGUUAUGCUUGCAAUGCUUCUGGUUUUGAGUGGACAGUACAAAUAUUUAAGUCCAUGUCAAUUUGAACAAUUUUCUUUAUUAUAGAGCAACCGUCUUUAAUCUAUUGUGUUCUUGACCACAAAAAACCAAAUAACAAAUAAGUAUUAAUUAUUGUAGGGUCCAACAACAAUCUUUAAUCUAUUGUGUUCUUGACCACAAAAAACCAAUUAACAAAUAAGUAUAAAUUAUUGUAGGGUCCAACAGCAAUCUUUAAUCUAUUGUAUUCUUGACAACAAAAAACUAAAUAAUAAAUAAGUAUACAUUAUUAUAUGGCCCACUCCUUUAAAAAUUUGUUGCUCACAACAACUUAUUUAUUCUCAUAAUAACCCAAAGUUAUGCUAGCAAAGCUCUUUUGAGUAAGUGUAUUGAAAGUUUUAAAAACUUGUCACUAAAGUGCAUUAAGUCCUGAAACUUUCAAAAAAUACAAUUUAAUCCUAAAAUUUGUCACGAAAUGCAAUUGAGUCUUAAAAUUUUCAAAAAGUAAAAUCAAUUAUAAAGAUUUAUCAAUAUUAUAAGGGACAAAACCAAAAGCUGCAUGCAAUAAAUCAGACAAAAUUCAUUAAUUUAUGACCAUCAAGCAAGCGUCAGACAUUAGCAAAUGAAUGUAUUAGCAAUCGAAAAUACAUCGAAAACAAAAAGUUAAAAGCUCAUAUCUACCUUUCAUUCUUAUGCUUUGUAAGCCCCUCUGACCUUAGUGACCGCAAGGAUUUUACUGUGGACUCAAUGAGAUCCAUCUCAAGCUCCACCCUUUCAUGUGUCCAGCACUGAAGCAAAAGGAAAAUCGCAAUAAUGCGAUGAGGAUGAAACUAACCCAUUGAAUUUCUGAGUAAUCCAUCAAGUACAAGUUACCCAUCAUUCGGCCACUAAGCUCCUCCACUAUGGCCCUCAAUUGCUGGAUGCUUACUACGAGCGCUUCAUCCCUUCGUAUGAAGUCAACAUUUCUUUGAUUCACACUUUCUUUGCAUGACAUAUUUUAAACCUACAAGUAAACGUUAGUCACAAAAAUCCUCACCAAUUGCUCCCUCACGUGUUUCUCUCAAUGUGUUUGUCACUCCCCUCGUGUUUAACUCAAAUUUAGGCUUUUUCCCUCUCGUAUUCUCUUUUCACAAGUUCUUUAUUGGACUCAAAAUCAGUCUCUCAGCCCCCUCACGACAAUCAAUCAAAAUAAUCAAACAAGAUUAGAUUACUAUUAAUUUUGUUUCAGCAAGUAACAAUUUCAAACCAACAAGUAUAACUUUCGAAAUUCUAAUUGAAACGCAAAUCACUACUGAUUUUGUUUCAAUUCGGUCCACAGUCGCCUUCUUGAUUUUUUUUUGUUCAGCUUUUUUUUUCUGCUGAAUCUUUUUUUUUUCUCUAGCGCACUUUUUUUUUGUGUGCGUUUUCUUUCUCUUCUUUUUUUUUUUUUACGAACUUUCUUUGUUUUUUUUUCUUUCUUUUUUGACAAACUCAGAUACAAUUUAAGAUGAUAGGAAAAAAAAUAUUAAAACUAACAGCAAACAAUUACGUAUGGAAGCACAAAAGUAAUCAGAUCCCUAAAUUGGCUAGAACCGAAACCCUAACUCAAUAAAUCUCAAAUUGCUGAAUAUAAACAGAAAAUUAAAGAUAAAUAGACAUUGUAGAAGUAAGCUCUGAUACCAAAUGAUGUCAAUCGUUGUGGAAAAAUCAUUCUACGAAGGCCUGGAUGGUGCGAAUUGCAAACCUCGACCUCCAAUCAAACCUGUGAUUGAUAACCUCGAUAUGAACGUGAUCAAACCUACGAUUGAGAACCUCGGUAUGAACGUGACCUAUUGACAAACGCAUGUCAACCAACCAAACCCACGAGCGAAAGAAUAAGGUUAAGUUCUCAAAAAAUAGUAGAAAAGAAUCUCUCAACUUUUUUCAUCCAUAUAUAUAUAUAUAUAUAUAUAUAUAUAUAUAUAUUGACUUGGUCAAAUAUUUGAUGAUCAGAUAAUCAAAUUGUGCAAAGAUUUCUAAGAUUCUUCAAGAUUUAAUCCAAAGCCAUCUCUACGCCGAAGAUCAUGAACCAUGACGCUAACAGCUUACUUGAAUUGCUUGGCUCGUGCUCGAGUAAUUGAACCAGUAGGAAUAGACAAUGGGUCUCUAGCACCACCUCAUCGAUAUGGCUUGAUGUCCACAUCAUAAUGCAUGCGAAGGAACAAGCCGAUUGCCACUUGAUGUUAGUCAUUCAUGCAAAACUGUAAGAUUCAUACGCUAUAAUAUAGCCAAACAAGCAACCAAAAAAAAAAAAUAAAAAAUAAAAAACUAAAAAAAUGAUCUGCGUUGCACUUGAGGUGGCAAGGGCAAUUAGAUUGUAUUGAAACUAAAUGAAGUCCGUUGCAUUAAAAAGACAAUCAAAUGAUGCAUUGAUCAAACCUUCUCUUCCUUCUUCUUUUUCCUCUCCAGGUCUUCCACGCCUUCCGACUUGUUAUCCGGUUGAGACUGCACGACCCACAUCGACUCAUCAAUCUGAUCAUUACAAUCAUAGACUUGCCAUUUCCACAGCUAACCCAAUAACUCAAGCUACAAUCAGACGAGCUUCCACCCAAGAAAACAUACCAUUUCGAUGGUUGGUAAGCGUGAGACUGCAACCAAAGUUCGAUUCCGACAAGAGAAAGCACCGGGACAGAUGGUUGAGCUCCGUUUAGAAGUAGACCCAACAGCCGCCGGCGAACAAGGGUGGCGACCGUGACUUCAAAGAGACGACUUGACGGCGACCGAGCUCGGCGGAGGCGAGGGCGGCGGGACUUGUCAGCAGGGAUUUUUCUGACAGUGUCAGACUGGCACGACUCUGACGUUUUUUUAAUUAACUAAAGAAAGAAAUUCGUAAUACGACGUGGGCAGCCCGCAGGAGGGCGAAAUAAGAGUUUCCUGUUCUUAUUUUAUUUUAUUUUUAGCCUUUUCUGCUUAUUAGCAAAUAAAAUUUAUUAAUUUGACACGAACAUAUAGUGGUGUAUUUCCUACUAGUAAUAUAAAUUUAUAGAUUUUAAGGGAAGACUUGGAUCGUAAUUGUCAUUGGAGAGGAAGUGAAUGAUGAUAUAACAUGAGUUAAUAGACGUAAGUGAAAAAUGUCACAAAAGAAAUCGUGUUCCGAUAUUAAUUUUGUCAAUAUAUUGAAAAGGCAACAGGUUUCGUAUUCUUCUGGACAGAAAUGAAAGGUCAAAGGGAAACGAGAAGGACUGAGCAAAUAAAUGACAAAAUAUGAGCAAUGGAAGUCAUUGAUCGUUUGCCGUUUGACUGAUUGGAUUCUAAAUAUUUUAUUUUCAAUUGGGGUCUAAAUAUUUAUUUGGUCCAAUUGACUUCUAAACAUUUCCAAUUUUAGUCAAUCACGUCCCUCGAAUAUUAUUGUCGGAAAGAGCCACAUGGCUGUGAUUUUCCAAGUGGCCAAGGAGAUGCUUGAGGAGAAAACCUGUAGGAGAGGCGAAGCCAUUCAAGCAGAACUCUCAAGAAGCCAAUUUUUCAGACAGUUUCUCAAUCAUCACAUAGAAAAGUACCAGGAUUUCAUUACCCAUUUCACUUAUUUCUGCUAUAAAACUUACGGGUAUCGAAGUAUAUCAGGCAUAGUUUAUUUGUACUCCAGCAGAGAUAGUAAAAAGGCACAGAUGAUGCUCUCCUCUAGCUGAAACUCCCACUUUUCCUCUCUGUGUGAUCAGCUUUGCCAGCAACAAUUUCCAACUUCCCAAAUUGAUGUUCAAAUUUAAUCAAAUAGACUCAGAGAAGAAAACACACGAGAAUUGUUGCUAUAACUCUUGUUACUUUAUUCAUCAAAACAUCCAAAUCACUUAGCAAGAAAAUAGCUAUAGAACAACAACAACAACAAAGACCCACUGACAUACCCCACCGACCAAACAUGUGGAGAAACUAACUCCUACAAAAAAGCCACUUCCUAUUGACUAGGACUCCACUAUUACAUUAUUGAAGACACGUAAAAACUGUAAGUUAACUACUUCAACAAUUGAUGGUGUCACUUCAAGGAGUUCUCAAUGUCGAUCACGAAUCGAUACUUAACAUCUCUCUUGAUGAGCCUCUCCAGAGCUUCAUUGGCAUAAUCAAUCGGUAUCACUUCAAUAUUUGGGUAUAUCUUCUGCGCUGCACAUAGGUCUAUCAUUUCUUGGGUAUCCUUUGUUCCUCCCGUUAGGCUACCUGAAACAGUUCUCAUAUCUGCCAAACGUUCACCACGAGCAACUUAGUUCACCUAUCAGGUAUGAAAUUUCAUUUAGUAAUCAGAUUUGAGAACAAAAACAUACGGUGGUUAAGGCUGGCUGGACUAAAUUUAACUUCGCUCGAGCCGACCAAUGCUAGAAUGCCACCCGUCUUCAAAACAGACAUGUAAGGAUCAAAUGGGUGAUUGCCGGCUGCCGUGUCGAUUAUAAAGUCUAGGGACUUAGCAAUGGCCUGCGUGCAUUGGAUUUAUCAGAUCACAACAGAAUUUGACCACCAUGGAUCUCAAUGUGGAUAAUUCUAGUUUUUCCUUUUUUUACCUUCAUCUGCUCUACGUCAGAUGAGAUAACGAAAUGGUCAGCCCCAAGCAGGCUCAGUGCUUCCUCCUUUUUAGAAAUGCUUGUACUGAACACUGUGACUUUUAGUCCAAAAGCCUUCCCAAACUUAACUGCCAUAUGACCGAGCCCGCCAAGUCCAAUUACACCUAGAGACUUACCGGGUUGGUUCAUCUUGUGACGUAUCAUUGGAGUGUACACCGUGAUUCCAGCACAGAGCAGUGGCGCUGCUAGAUCCAUCGGGUAGUUUUCUGGAAUCCUGAAGCAAUACCUGUCAAUGAAGCACCACAAUUAAGUUUCCAAAUAACACCAAGAGAGGAAGUGAUUUCCCAAUAGAAUCAGCAUCCUGUCUUUUUUGUCUAAAAGGAAUCAAAUCACAGAGCCAGAAAUCCUAUCUUCCGCAUGCUUGGGAAUGUUACUUGCUUAGACCACAAUUCAGCAUCAUGUUGUUUCCGUGAUCCUUGUUCUGACCACAAAUUGCUCAAGACAAACAUUUCUUGCUGUAGCAACGAAAAUAACUCGAUUAAAAUUAAGAAAAGACACUUGCUCUAAGAAAGGAAACUGGUGGCAUAUCACAUAUGCUUGACUGAACACGUAAUUUCUCUAUUUCUUUCAAUCAAUUCCUCCGAAGGACUCAAGAUUCCUGUGGCUCUAUCAGAUACAAGAAUUAGUGAAAGCACAUACAUUUAGCUACCCAUUUGAUCUUAUACUUAUGAUCUAACUUUAACAAUCUAAGGACAGCUUAUUCCAUUCUUGACAAUGGUUAUUGAAAAGAAAGAAUUUCUUUUUGCAUUUAAUAAAGCCAAUUCUCCAUUGAAUGGUCUGAAUGGUAAUUGGAUACAGAGGACUUAAAGACCCUCCAGAGCCGUUAUAGAAAGUAUCUUUAUCCUUUUCCACAAGAUGCAUUAUGCUACUUCUGGUCACAAUCAGAAUACGAAGAAAAUUAGCAGAGAAGAAGACAUGACAUGAAAUCUUUUUUUGGCCACCAUGAUUUGAAAUUCUUUCACAGUGCAAAAUGCUGCCUAAUAACAUUGUGUUAAUAAGCAAUUACCUUUCAUGGACGACAAUGUGACUAGAAUAUCCUCCCUUUGUCACUGUACCGUCCGUAUCGAUUCGGUCAAAAGUCAAAACCAUCUUUUCACAAUGGACUUCUAGCCCGUCAUUGCAAUACUCGCACUCUCUGCAUGAAUUGACAUAAGUUCCCACACCCACAUGAUCGCCAACUUUGAAGCGUUGGACACUGGAGCCAACCUGUUUCACAAUUCCAACUAUCUCGUGCCUGAAUCAAUCAAAAAAGUCAUUCGCAAAUUUUGUUCAGAGAAUUAUUAGGAUGGUGCUAAGAAAAAAGAUUAACAUUCGAAUCACGCUGCAUCCUACCCUGGCACCAGAGGAUACUUGGAGGUUCCCGACAUAUUCCUAGUCCAAGCCACAUCUGCAUAGCACACUCCGCAGUGCGUGAUCCUAAUCGAGACGUCAUCGCUUCCCACGGUCCUAAAGAGAGAAUUCCCAAACAGAUGAGCAUCUAAUCAAGCAACUAAUCAGACUCAGUUACCUUUUGUUCUCAUUUUUCAGAUCAAUAAACUAAGCGUGACUUACAAUAAUCAUACAUUCAACCCAAAAAAAAAUUUAAGAAAAGAGAAAUGAAAAGGAACCAAAUCCAUGACUAUAGGCAUUUGUCUGAAUAGUACAUACAACCUCAAAUGCUCACAAAGGCAGCACCCGAAUCCUAAUGUCUGCCAUGAAGUUCUAAGCAACUCAUUCUGGGACAUGACAUAUCAUGCGUACAAACAAUUCUCUACCCAGAAAUUAGUGCAUACACAACAAAAUUUAUAAAAGAAAAACGAAAUGGUUUGGUCAAUGUGGAAAUUUAAAUAUAUGACAAGCAUCAAAAACUGUUUUGCAUUACAGGUGAGAGGAUAAGACCUGAGAACACUGUAUUGAGACUUAUUCAGACAAAUACUUCAAUAGAAAUUGAAAGUAUAAGGAGCAGAUGAAUUAAAUAAAGAACAGUGGUAACAGUAAUACCUGCGGCUGAAUUUGUAGGGGGAGAGACGUCCAGAAGGAUCUCUGGCAGCCCAACCAAGACAAUCUUCCUUCGCACCCUCUGAACUCAUCGUUCCUCACCGACCUCAACUGAAAUCGACCCACAAAAAAAUUGCUGUGUUAAUCUCUCAAUAAGCUGAAUUAUGGAAGAAGAAGAAGAAUUAUUUUCGUGAAAGAGAAAUGAAGAGAAAAUCAAACCGGAAAACAGAAGUUCAAAUGGUCAAAAGGCCAAAUGUCACGAAGACUUGGCAAUUCCGUUUCCGUGCAGACAAGAUUUUGCGGUCUGACUUUUGAGCAAAGAGCGAGAUUAGCAGAGAGCGAGGUUGAGCGCUCAAAAACCGUCACCUCUUUAUAGAUGCCAUAGCGUCGCCUGUUCUUGAUUUUUUUUUUCGUUUUAUCUUGUGGAAAAGAAUUAGUGCCAAACGUAAGCCAUUACCCUUCACUAGCCAAUGAAGUAUGCAGUGACGUCUUCUGGAGUACGGUUCUUGGUAUUUUUAUUUAUCCUCCCAAUAACAAUUGCAUUAUUAAUUUAUUCACACAUUAAAUAUGUCAAUAGGCAACAUGUUGACGCAUAAAAUAUGUCAUGAUCCUCUAGUGGUAUGUAUUCGAUUCAUCUAUUUUAAGAAUAUUCACCUUCAUCUAUUUUAAGAAUAUUCACCUUCUUCAAAGAUAGUGUUAGUAUAUGCGGAAACAUGUGUUUGAUAUGUAUGCAAGCAAAAGAACUAAGGGACAAUGUGAGCAAGAAAUAGUGGGACAAAGUAAUAAUAGGAAUGUGUAAAAGAGAAUGAGGCUGAGGCGGUGAAGGAGAGAAACUUGAAUGGAAGUCAACAAUAGUGGCUGAAGAAGAAACUAGUAUGUGGACAGCAAGAGUACUUGGAGAAGAAGAAAAUGAGUUGUCAGCUGUACUAUGGCCUAUGGCGGUGAAAAAGUCAAAAAUGUCAUGCUUGAAGUCGGUUGUAAUUGCCUAUAAAUAGGCUUGUCGUUCAUUUAUUUGGUGUGUGUGAGGUGAACCCUUCACCUUGUGUGGGGGUGAACCCUCCACUGUGAGAGGUCUUAAACCUCCGCUAGGACCAUAUGGAGAGUGACUAUUCAACACCUCCAUCAAAUUAUUUUGUCUUCUUCAAUAAGUUCUUGACAGCUGGAGUUUGAUGAAGAAACUUUGCUUCAUGCUUUCCGCUACUUGCUAUUUCCGAUGCACGUAGACUUCUCUAGCCUAUUCUAGGAUUUCUUCUUCAACUUGGGGUUUGCUUGCUUGUAUUCCCAUGUGAAUCUUCUAGGUUCAGCUAGCAACCACCAUUCUCAACAAUUCUAGACAAUCUUCAACAUGGAUGUUGCUACCAACGUUCUCGCCUUCAUGAUUAAGUUAAUAGUUUCUAAACAGUUUUAGAGAAAAUGGAUCAUAAUUUUCAACAUAUAGUAUUUUGGAGAGAAAAGUAUUUCAGCAGAAUUGUUCAAGGAUUUACAGAUCACUACAAUAUCACCGGAAGCAAAUAAUUAUCCAUCAUUGACAUGAACGAUAUAGCAAAAAUUCUUUUACUUGUUUACCUUAAGUUUAGCAAGAUCUGCUUAAACGACAACCUUGAGUAUCUUCAAUUCCCUUUCUCUUGCCUUCAAAAAGAUAUUGAAAUGCAACGCAGAAUCAAGACAGAUUGUCAUUAACAAAGCUGUAAAAGCCUACUCAAUCUGGCAAAAUUGGGGACAGUGUUUUCCAGCGAUCUUGACUACCUCGGUAGCUGCUGUGCAAAUGGAUAGGAAUGCAUGCAGAGGGACAAGCUGAUUGUUACCUACUUUUAGUCAUUCAUUUGAAACUGUAAGAUUCAUGUGCCAUAAGAUAGCCAAACAAGCGGGCAAAAAAUGAUGUGCCUUGCACCGAAGGUGGCAAGAGCAAUUAGAUUAAAUUCAAACCAAAAAAAGCUUGAUGCAUAAAAUGAAAAGUCAUCCAUUGAGCAAAAAAGGGUGCGUUUGGUAAGGUUUCUGUUUAAAAAUUGUUUCUGGGAACAUAAAUAAAAAAAAGUGUUUCUGUUCCAAGGAACAAGUUUUGAACAAAAAAACGCAUUUGGUAAAUCUGUUCUAGAAAUAUAAAAAAAAUAGAAACACGUUUGGUAAGUUUGUAUAUUUUUUUUUAUUUCUUUUAAUUUUUAAUAUUUUUAUUUUUAUUUUCUAUUUUCUUUCUUAUUUUUCUUAUUUAUUUUUCCUUUUUUUCUUAUUUAUUUUUCCUUUUUCCUUUUUUCUUCUUUUGGCCGGUCGCCGGCCUCGGCCAUGGCCGACGACCAGCCGACAAGGGCCGGCGGCCUCACCCAGCCAUGGCGAGGCUCGCCGGCCGCUGGGCGAGCUCGGCCUCGCUAGAUCUGGGCGAGAUCGAGCUCGCCCAGCCAGGCGCGAGGUCGGCCUCGCCGCGCUGUGCCGACGGUGACCCAGAGCCACACCAUCGUCUCCCUCCACCGCAUCGGUGACCGCGCUCGACGCCUCCUCGCCGCCACCGGAUCGGCGACCACCCCUCCGCCUCACGCCCGAUUGACGCAUCUGCAGGUCUCGAGCCUUCGUUCACCACCGCCACAUCAGAUCUCACCACGCCGUGACCCACGGCUUCGAGAUCCGCUCGAUCGUCGACCCCGCGCCGGCCCACGACUCGACCGGCCGUCCUCGCCGCUCCGCUCCUAGACGUCCGCCGCUCGAGACCCCACGGCCGAGCCCCGCACCGCAGCCGCCGCCGCCGCCCAGCGACCCGCGACCCAGCUCCGUCACCCGCUCACAGGUGGAGAUGCUCGCAGCGGCUGUCGGCGCCGGAGAGGACGACGGUGGAGAAGCCGGAUGGUCUCGAGACAGAGGCGGCUGUCGGCGCCGGAGAAGACGACGGUGGAGACACUUGCAGAAGGAGAGGCUCGCAGGAGAACACGAUUUUGUUUCUUUUUUGUUCUUCAAAUAUGUUUCAGAAAUAAGAAAUAAGAAAUUCUUGUUUCUUAUUUUUGUUUGUUUCUUAUUUUUGUUCCCUUUUUGUUUCUAGGAACAAAAAAACAAAAAAGAAACAGAAAUGCACCCAAACGCGUUUCUGUUCCUUUUUUGUUCCCAGAAACAAAAAAAUAGAAAUUUUUGUUCGUGGGAACAGAAACACGGUGCAAACAAACGCGCCCUAAAUGACAAAGUAAGUGCAAUGAGAGUCAUUGAUGUUCACGCCAAACGUAUGCCAUGACCAUUCCUUAGCCGAGAGAAUGUAAGCAGCGACAUCUUCUAGAUAGUGGUUACUGGCAAUUUUUUUUUUUUUUAUCCCCGGCCUGAUCAAAUUAUCCGAGUUAUAAACUCAGAAAGAAGUUAAUGAGCAAUCUACCGCUAGGACCUAUGAAGGGUCAUAUGUUGUUGGUUACACAUCGUGUUGGAAUAUAAUAUACGGAAAUGAAAAGAUCUUGCAAUUUACGUCAACGUGCAAACUCCAGAAAAAUAAAUGAGAAAUAAUAAGAACACCAUAACUUUACGUGAUUCGGUCCGAGUAUUAGUACCUACAUUCACGGGAGAGUUAGCAACAAAUAACCCACUAUAAUAAAAAAAUCAGAGUUUACAAUCGCUCACAUGCUUGAGUAUUUUCUACACCUAGAUUUCAACUCAAGAGUUUAUAAAUAAACAACUCAUUUUAACAUAAAUUCACGACAUAAAAUUACCACUCGUUCAAAAACAAAAUGCUCUACGUACGCCAAAAACAAGAAUUCCAGCAUUUAUCUUUUGGUUCGCGUAGAUACGGAUUUGUGUUCUUCUUUGCUUGAUCGUGCGGCGCUAUUCUAGACGUUCCUUUUGGCUCUUUCUUCUUCGUAGGGCUUCAGUAACUUUUUCUAUAAAAAAAAAAAAGGACGUUCUAUUUUAUAUAUGUGCCUAGAGUCAACAACUUUGACUCUGGGCCCACCAUGUGCUUCUUUCUUCAGUGGGAAGUGGGACGCUGCAGGUAAGGCGAAGAAACCUUCCUUUUAUUCAUUUUUCUUCAUAUUUCCUUUAUUUUAUGGGAUAUGUUUGGCAGAAGUCCUAAAACUUGUCCAGAAAGUGCAAUUGAGUCCUAAAACUUACAAAAAGUUCAAUCAAGUCCUAAAACUUGUCAAAUUGGUUCAAUUGAGUCCUAAAGUUAACACCGUUAAGAAAAUUAACAGAAAUUGCUGACGUGGCGCUGACGUCAUAUUUUAAAUGAUCUUUUUUAUUUUUCAAAUAGCUUUUUUAAAUUAUUUUUAUUCAAAAUCUUUAAAAAUUAGAUUAAAAACUAAAAAGGAAAAUCUAAAUUUAUUAAAAAAACAAAAUUGUUCAAAAAAAAAAAAAGAAAAAAGGGCGGUGGACUUUCGCCGCUGCCCAUCGCCGAAGGGGCCGGCGAUCGUCGCCGGCCCUGGGCGGGGGCGAUGGUCGCCAUCCCUUGCCUGGGGCCGAGCAACCGUCGCCCGCCUUGGGCGAGGCCUCGUCGGCCCUCGCUUGGGGUCGGCGAGGCUCGCUAGAUCUGGGCGAGCCUCGCCCUCGCCAGCCACCCCUGCCCAGGGCCGACAACUGUCGCUCGGCCCCUUCGGCGAUGGGCGGCGGCGGCGGCGGCGGCGGCAGCGGCGGCGGGGAGAAGAGGGCUGCUUUUUUUUAAAACAAUUUUAAAAAUAACUUUUAUAACUUUUCUUUUUAAUUUUUAGAUAAAAUGAAUAAAUUUAAUUUUUUAGUUUUAAUUCUUUUUUUAAAAAUGAAUAAAAAUCAUUAAAAAAAUCCACGUGGAAAAUAAAAAAUAAUUAAAAAUGAUACGUCAGCAUUUUUAACAGAAAAAGCUAACGGUGUUAACUUUAGGACUUAAUUGAACUAACUUGACAAGUUUUAGGACUUGAUUGAACUUUUUGUAAUUUUAGGACUCAAUUGCACUUUUUGGACAAGUUUUAGGACUUCUGCUGAACAUAUCCCUUAUUUUAUAUAUGUUGUGUGCCUAAAGUCAAGACUUUUGACUUUGGGCCCACAUAAAUAACCUUGUUUGGCUCCCGUAGAUAAAGAAGAAACUUUGUUCUUUUUAUUAUUAUUAUAUUUUCUUUCCUCUUUCGUAAACCUUCACAAAGUCCAACAAAGCUUCUUCUAUUGAUCGAAACAAUCAAAGACCCAAAAAGAAUUUCGAAUUUAUUUUCUUGUGCAUAAUCUUGAAUAUUAUCUUUAUCAGAAAAAUAUCUUCACGAUCAAAUAAUAAAAUUUUUAUCCAAGCGGAUCGCAUUUUGCAAAUACUCAAACUCGAGACAUAAUUUAACACAUCCGACAUGAUAUACUGCCCAAUUACUAUCCUCUGACAAUUUAUAUUUGAUUAAUCUAAUUCAAGAAUAUUCAUUUGUUAGACUUGUUGGCUUACACGCCACUGUCACGUGAUAUAUCCUAUAUUGAGAAUACUCAAUGAGCUUUGACUCUAGAUACUUGGGAGCAUCUAUGCUUGUUUUAUGUAUGUUAUGCUUGUGAUGCAUCUUGUUUUGAGUGGACUGUAGAAAUAUUUAAGUUCGUGCCAAUUUGACUAAUUUUUUAUCUGGAUAAGUGCAUUGGAAGAUUUAAAACUUAUCAUAAAAAUACAAUUAAGCCAUGAAACUUUGAAAUCAAGUUCUAGAACUUGUCACAUUGGUCUAAUCUAAAUCCUACCAUUGCAUUUUUGAAAAUUUCGGUACUUAACUGCAAUUUUCUAACAAGUUUUAGUAUUUCCAAUAUACUUUUUUUUUUUCAACCUCAGUAAUGUUUUUAAGCAACAAUGAGCUUGACAUAUCUCUGUUUUCGGAAUUUCAGUGGCUAUAGGAAACAAAAGGACGUCCUCUAAUGAAUCAACAAUCUUCUGCCAUGACAAAGCUGGAAGAGAGAUGAGUGUCUUCCAUAGUUAUAAAAAAUGUUCAUGCAAUAAUCUGUAGGAAUUCGUCUUCCUGACGUGCAUGAACAUUUCCGGCCAUGAAACAUUUCACGGUGAAGACAUUCUGUCACUUAAACCGGCAAAAGGAUAUCGAGCUUGUUCUUUUGGCGAGUGUAUUGCCGUCAAAUAUGCCUGAUUAAUUCCACGACUAUUAGCAUUUGUUUAAAUAGAGCAUACAACCUAAAAUGCUCACAAAGGUAGCUGGUACUGGAUCCUCAUGUCUGCCCAUGAAAUUCUGAGUGCCUCAGACAUGGCAUAUCAGGCACACAAACAAUUCUCAACCCAGAAAUUAGUACGUACACAACAAAAGUUUAAAAAAAAAAAAAUUGGUUUGGUUAAUGUGGAAAUUUAACAUCAUGACAAGCAUAAAAAACUGUUCAGCAGUACAGUAGAGAGGUCAAGACCUGAGAACACUGUAUUGAGACUUAUUCAGAUGAACACUUCAGAUAGUCACUGAAAAGCUAAGGAGCAGAUGAAUUGAAUAAAGAACAAUGGCGAUGAUAAUACCUGCGGCUGAAUUUGUAGGGGGAGAGAAGUCCUAGAAACCGUCAUAGAUGCCAUAGCGAUGGAUGUUCACGAUUAAUCUUUGAGCUUACUAUUGUGGAAAAGUAUUAGUGAUUCGCCAAACGUAACCCAUGACCCUUCCUUAACCAAAGAACGCAUGCAAUGACAUCUUCUGGAGAGCGGCUCCUGGAAUUUUUCCAUCCACAACCUAAUUGCAUUAUCAACCUACUGACACAUAAAAGAUGUCAAUAGGCAAUGUGCUGUUGCACCACUGGACCCGCAAAUGGUCAUCAAUGUCGGUUAUACCGCCAAUAAUUUGUACCUGACCCUUCAUAGUCGUAUUAUUCGAUUAAUCUAUUUAAAGAACAUUCAUUUUCUUCAAACAUGCUUUCUCACGUGCCACUGUAAUAUGAUGUUUUUGAUACACAAAAUACUAUCUCUUCAAGAGCUUUGACUCCUAUAUACUUGGGACAUUAAAUUGUUUUAGCAACAAUGAGCUUGGGAUAUCUCUGUUUUCGGGAUUUCAGUUGCUAAGGGAAACAAAAAGGACGUCCUCUAAUGAAUCGACGGUAUUUUGCUAUAACAAACCUGGAAGAGAGAUGAGCGUCUUACAUAAUUACAAAAAAAUGAUCACGCAAUAGUUGGUAGAAAUUUACUCUGCUGACGUGCAUGAACAUUCUGAACAAAAAACGGAAAACAUGCAUGAACAUUUCCGGCCAGGAAGCAUUCACGAGGAGCUGAGAGACACUCUAUUUCUUAAAGCAGCAAAAUGAUUACGAGCUUGUUCUUUUGGUGAGUGGAAUGAAUAAAUUGUUCAAAAAAUCCUAAACUUAUUGUCCGACCACUAAUUUAAUUCUAAACGUUUUAAUUUGAUCAAUGUUGUCUAAAACUUUUGACAAUUUUUUGUAGUCCACCUAGUUAAAUUUAGGUCGAAAAUCAGUGAUGAAGCAAUUUAGUAAACACUAGCUGUUUUAAGUGAUACAACCGAUAGCUGAUAUAGAUGAUCUUAAAUGAUGUGGCGUCGUUUCACAAUUUUUUAAUAUUCUUUCUUUUUCUUUUUUAGUAAUUUUUUUUCCUAUUCUUUCGUUCUCUAGUGUUCAUUUUCUUCCCUCUGCCGGUGGCCGAUGCCUCAGCAAUGACCGGCGACCAUCAUAGGCUACAAGUGAGGGCAUUGAGCGAGACUUGCAAGCCUUCUCCUAGAUUUGGGCAAGGGCCCUAUAGGCCCUCAUUGGCCGUAGGCAAGGUUGGGGACUUGCAAGCCCUUGCCUAGAUCUACCCUCUAAUGGGGUCAAUGCCUGCCAUCACCAAAGCCUCAAUGUCUUGCUCUGGAAAGAAAAUGAACAGCAGAGAAGGAGACAAUAGGAAAAGAAAGAAAAAAGAAAAAGAGAGGAAAGGAAAAAGGGAAAAAAUCUGAAAAUAAUAACAAAAAAUUGCAAAAUGACGUUGUUUCAUUUAAGAUCAUCCAUGUCAAUUGCCAAUCAUGCAACGUGGCCUACCUUGUUGGAUGUAGUAGAUUUAGGAUAUUUUGAAUAUUUUUCUCCUAUUAAAUAUGCCCGGUUUAUUUGAUAUCCUAAAAUUUGUCAACUUUGUGAAAUCAAGUUCUAAAAUUUGUUGGCACUCUUUUCAUAUUGGAUGAAGUUAAUGAAAUGACUUGAUUACAACUACUUGGUAAGUUUUAUGACUUGAUUGUAAUUUUUGAAAAUUGUCGGACUCAAUUGCAUCUCUAUAAUAAGUUUUAAAACUUGAUUACGCUAUCUAAAAAUUUUAAGAUUUUCAAUAUACUUAUCCCUAAAAUAAAAUAAAAAGGGCCUACCCCCUUUACAUGAACUCUUUAAUUUAAACGCACCAUGGAAUUUCCUGUCCUUUUACACAAUUUCAUUAACUAAGAUUUUAUUUUAUUUUUUGGGUUAAAACCAAGAUUUAGUUCUUCUUCUUCUUUUUUUUCGGACCAGCCAAGAUUUAGUUCAAAGAUAGAUAUUUUGAGGAGAAAAAAAUUUCAGCAAACUAUGCAAGGAUUUGCAAAAGAUCGCAACAAUAUUACCGGAAGCAUAUAAUUAUUUAUCACUGACGAAUGAUAUAGUAAAAAUUCUUUUAGAAGUUUACCUUAAGUUUAGCAAGAUCUGCUUAUUCGGCAGCCUUGAGUUUCUUCGAUUCCUUCUCUCUUGCCUUCAAACAGAUAUAGAAAUGGCAACGCAGAAUAUCAAGAUAGAUUGCCAUUGACAAAGCUGUAAAAGCCUACUCAAUCGAGCAAAACUGGGACAGUUUUUCCAGCAAUCUUGACCACCUCCGUAGCAUGCCGUGGAAAUAGAUAGGAACACAUGUAGAGGGACAAGCUGAUUAUCACUUGCUUUUAGUCAAGCAUUCGAAACUUUGAGAUUCAUGCACUAUAAGAUAGCUAGACAAGCAAAAAAAAUGAUGGGCAUUUCAGUUGAGGUGUCAAGAGCAAUUAGAUUGAAUUCAAACCAAAUAAAGCUUGACGCAGAAAAGAGAAAUGUUGUGCAUUGAGCGAAUAUAUGACAAAAUAAGUGCAAAGAGAGUCAAUGAUGUUCUAGCGCUUUGGCCAAUUGAGUUCUUAAAAUUUUACUUUGCUUAAUUGAAUCCUCGGCCUUUUCAAUUUCAGUCAAUUGAGUCCCUCAACCUUGAUCCUCGGAAAUAGUCACAUGGCUAUGAUUUUCCAAGUUGAUAAGAAGAUGCUCGAGAAGAAAACCGGGUAGGAGGUGAAAUGGGACCUAAGUGCAAGUUUUACUAUUUCAGUAACUACAAUUGAUCUGACAGAAGGUUGAACUUUCAUGGAUCUGGCACUUCGUUUGAAGCUAUACAAACAGAAAUCAGCGGGCUCAAGAAGCCAAUCUUUUAGACAGUUUCUGAAUUAUCACACAGAAAAGCACUAGGAUAUCUUUACACAUUCACUUAUUAUAUCCUCUAUAAACUAACAGUUAUUAGAGUAUAUUAGGCAUCAUUUAUUUGUAGUACAUUAGGUACAGAUGUCCUCUCUCUGAAAUUCCCUCUUUUCCUCUUCUUACGAUUAGCUUUGCCAGAAGAUGUUUCCAACUUCCGACAUUGAUGAUGUCAUUUCAAGGAGUUCUCAAUGUUUAUCACAAAUCGGUACUUAACAUCUCUCUUGAUGAGCCCCUCAAGGGCUUCAUUGGCAUAAUCGAUCAGUAUCACUUCGAUUUCUUGGUGUAUGUGCUGUGGCGCACAGAGGUCUAUCAUUUCUUGGAUAUACUUCAUUCCUCCAGUAGCGCUACCCAAAACUGUUUUCAUACCUGCAAAAAGUUCAUUGUGAGCAACUUAGUUGGCUUGCCUAUCAGGUAUCAAUAUUUCAUUCGGUAAUGAGCUUUGAGAAUAAAAACAUACCAAGGUUAAGGGAGGAAGUACACUAAUGGUGCCAUAAGUUAUGUACGGCGCUCACUUUGGUGUCAAAAAUUUUUGUCGGAUCACUUAAGUGCCAAAAAUUUUGAAAAACGAUCACUUUGGUGCCAUCGUCGAUUUGGUUGGUCGGAAAUCUGACGUGACAAUUUUUUAUUAAUUUUUUAUGCCGACGUGGAUCGUCGGAUAAUACAAUCAACAAACAAAGAACAAAACGAUGCCGUUUACCAUUUUCCCCCAAAUAAAAACCCCUAAAUCCCUAAUUUCGACUAGAACUGGAAGUUGAAAACCCUAAAUCCCCAAUUCGACCAUUUCGAGUGCAUAUUUCGAUUUUCUGCCAAAGUUAUCAACUUGCUUUUGCAAAUGGAGGACAAAAGUUUCAACAGUGGCUCGCAUUCCUAUAAGAAAAGCGAAUUAGAUGGUGAGUGUUACUGUUAUUGUGGGUUACCGAGUCCGAGAAGAAUAUCUUGGACUUGGUUGAAUCCCGGGAGAAGAUUCCAUGGGUGCGGCAGAUAUAGAGAAAGCUCGAAGUGCCAUUAUUUCAAAUGGGUUGAUAGGAAAUUCUCUAAUCGAGCGACAUAUGUGAUAUUGGAGUUACUUGAAGGCCAAAAUCAACCUCCAUCUAUGUUAAUGGACGAGCUGGGGGAUGUCGACUCAAUACAAGCUCAAAUGAAGGGUUUAACAUCUCUGAUGGACCAUUUGAAGAGAGAGGUUUCAAGGCUGAAAAUUGAAAGAAACUUUAUCGAGCGUUGAUUGUAUUCUUAUUCUCUUGGGUAGUUUAUUCAAAUGUAAAGUGAGUAAUGAGAAGAAAUUUGUAUGUCUACCAUAGUCGAAGACGUGGAAUAUGCACUUGUAUUGGAUUAUUUAUAAGUAAAAUGUGUUUUUUGGUUUGUUGCAAUUUUUAUAUAGAGCAGAAUGUUUUAUUGUUGUAAUCUAUAGGUAGAAAUGUAAGGUUGGACUUGGAAUGCAUUAGUUGUGAGCACUUAAAAAGUUUUGUUGUUUAGUUGUGUAUUGUCAAUGUUUGUUUUUGUUAGUUUUUACUUCAAAUAUAAUGGUUUACUGCAUUUUUUAUUUGGUAAUAGUUUGCUGCAUUGAAAGCAAACGGUAAUGGUUUGCUGCAUUUUUUAUUUGGUAAUGAUUUGCUGCAUUGAAAGCUUUUGAUAAUGGUUUGCUGCAUUUUUUUUAUUUGGUAAUGGUUUGCUGCAUUUUUUAUUUGGUAAUGGUUUGCUAGUUUGCUGGUUUGCUUCAACUGUUAAACCAUGGCUGAAUGGCCGAAAUUAAAGAAUGGUGCCAAAUUCACGAUUGAUCAUUUCAGUGCCAUAAGUUGUAAAUAGUGAUCGCUUAAGUACCAAGUUUUUAUAGAAGUGAUCAUUUAAGUGCUAGUCGCAAUUACAAAGUGAUCACUUAUGUUGCACAAGUUUUUUAAAAAAUAACAUGUUAGUGCCAAACGUCACAUUCCAAAUGCACAGAGUUCUUGCACCAGUUGAGUUGCUGGUGCAUCUUCUUGCACCAACCCAUACAGAUGUCGAUGCAACAAGAUGUACCAGCACCCAAAGUGCUCUUGUAGCAGCACAUAUAAUCAGAACCCCACAAAUUCAUUAUAAUCCACAACUUUAACCAACAACAGCAACAUUGCAGCAACAACAACAUUGCAAUAACAACAAAAAUAAAAUAUAUAGCAUAACUAACUUGCUAGCAUUCUAGCUAAAACCAACACAAGAGAAAAUGAAAAGUCAUUCCAGUACUUGCCAUUAACAUUGCUUGAUUGUUUACAAAAUACAAAAUACAAAAAAAAAAAAAAAAAACAUGUCUAACUUCACUCCCUAAUCAUCAAAAGUUCAGCACUUUCCUAAAAAAAAACAAUGGCAAUAUGCAAGCAGCAACUACCAUUGAUGAUAUAAUAUCCAGCACACUCCUAAAAAAAGAAAACAUGGAAAGAGACCAUGUCUAGCAUCACAUAAAAAGAGACCAUGUCCAACACCCUCCCAUCAGUCAAUAUUGACAACACCCUGAUCUCUUUUUCUUAUUAGAGCUUUGAAUUGAUUCAUAAUCCGAGCACUCUUUCGAACUGGAUGUGCAGGUUCUUAACUGGGCUUUCUGUCACCUCAUUUUCCUUUUCCUUGUUUUUUACGGCAGCUAUUUUUGUUCUAGCACGUAUCAUGUGUUGGUCCAUAUCAUCACUACUGCUCCCAAUCGUUGGUUGAGAUGGAACUAGUGAUGGGUUCUUUUUGGAUGGCUGUUUCGCAGCUAUACCCACUGUCUUCUUCUUCUUCUUCUUUGGAGCACUCUUCUUUGGAUGCGCCCUUAAUUCUUGAGUUGGCCCACCUUGAGAGAGAAGUACCUCUGAAGUUCUCCCAGGCUACAAGAACAUAAUGAUAUUGUCAACCAAAUGAAUUGAAGUACAACAAAUUAAAUGCAUAAGGCCUAUAAAUUUUACAUUCAAAAUAGUCAUUCCAGUACGUUCAUCUGUGUAAAUCCCAUAACCAUAUUGCCUUAAUUUUUUUCCAAGAGCCCCUUUUGUUCGCUGUGAUGCAUCAUUUUCAGCAACAACAAUCUGAUAUUGCUAGUAUGAGUACCUAGAGGGGGGUGAAUAGGUAUAUAAAGAGUUUUUCUCAAGCAAUUGCACAAUACUAGACAGUUGGAUGAAACGAUAAUCAAAGUAAGACUGAGAGAAGAGAAAAUUUAAUACGCGGUUUAUAGUGGUUCGGCUUAUAUCAAGCCUACGUCCACUCUUCUUCACUGACAGCCUAUUGGCUGGAUUCCACUAUGAACAAGAGAGAGGUUACAGCACAGCUUUGCCUUGAUUCCACAGUGUAGAUGUUCUACUACACCUCCUCAAGAUUUCUCACAAAUAUAGACUCUCUCUUUCGUAUACAAGUAUUCGCUCAAAGGAUUUGUCUAAACAAAAAGAAGUUUCAGACUUUGGAAUUCUUCUAUCGCGCACACCUUGAACAACUAAGACAGUCUUCCUUAUAUACUCCUUUAUGCCAUCAUACCCGUUGGCACUUACCAAAGGAAUUCCUCCAAUCUACCCGUUGAACGGAAUCAAUUAGGAAGAUUGUCCAAGCUAUAAAUGGAACGUGUUGAUAGCCCAUCAAUCAUGUUCGCCCAUACAAUCAGGAUCUCGGUUUCCAUAAGCAGAACCUUCCAAUAAUAUUUAGGCAAUCACCGGAUCUUCAAUUAUCGAAUCAAUCUUCGAUCAAUCAAAGGACUCCGUUUAUGUCUUCUCCAGCCAUGAGAUCUUCUCCAGUUGAUAAGGUUAAAUCCUCAACGAAACAUCCAGUUCUGGAUAACCUUUCUUCAACAAAUUAGAGACUGUCAAUGAGGAUAGACUUUGAGUCUUGAGUCUAGCUGUCCUAAGGUCUUUAGACUUUAAAUAGCAGAGUCUGCAAGCCUUCAGACUAGACUGAUAUAAACGAUUUGUCAACUUCAAAACACUUCAAGAAGAUUUCUCCAACAAUCUCCCCCUUUUUGAUGGUGACAAAACUUUCCUGCAGAUUUGGAUAUCUUUGACCUGCAAAACAUUUCUCAAACACAUAUACAUAUCUUAUAGAGGUAAAUGUCUUAACAGAAUAACACUAGAAUCUGCAACCACAGAAAAUAGGUUAGUCCAGUAUAUGAUGAAGCCAUCCAUAAGAUAUCAAUAUUAGUUAAUAGAAGCAGUCAAGUCCAAGUCUAGUUUACUUCUCAUCCAAACACAAACCAAAGUCAAAUAGAUUCAAACCACAAAACAAUCCAACAAAAACAAUUAAAAGUUGAAUGAAAGGUUUUUAAUCAAAUCUUGCAUCUCUCCCCCUUUUUGUCAUCAUUAAAAAGGAUGAGAUGAAGUUAAGAAUGCUUGGGAACGCGGACAAGCUGGAAAUCUUCCAUAGACUGAACAAUGCCUUCCAACCUUUUAAAGUCUUCCUUUAGCUGUGCAAUCUCCUCACUCUUGGCAUUGGCCUGAUUCUGAACAGAGAGGGCUUGCAUUUUAUCAUUCAAUAAACAGGAAGAAGCUUGACCUUCAUUCUUCAAGCUUUGAACUUCGCAUCCCAAGGCAUAAAUCUGACCUCGCAUCUCCAAAAGAAUAUCCAUGAUUCUGCGAAAAUCUGCUCCAUUAUCAGUUUGAGUACUUGCUUCGGCUCGAUCUGAUGGAGUAAAUGCAGAUGAUGGUAGAUCAGCAUAAUCUUGCAGGUUUGGCGAUGAAACUUCAUGACCUUCUUCUGGAAAUUGAGAUGCAUAAACAUCCUCUGGAUCUGCUGGUGAGCGACUGAUUCCUUCACUUGCAUCAGGACAUGAAGACUUCACUCCUUUCUCCUGAUCUCCCCCUGUUUCCAUGCCUACAGGUGGAGAAGAGUGUUCUUCAGGUUCUCCUUCUUCUCUUCUUUCUUCUUCAGGUCUUUCCUCCUCUGUUUCUUUUUCAGCUUCUAUUUCUUCUUCUUCCUUCUCCUCUGCUUCUUUCGUCAUUUGCUCCGAUUCUUUCUGUGGAACAAGACGACUUAAAUUCUUCAAAGCCAAUGCAGAGAUGGUGAUGUCUUCCUCAUCAUCUUCAUCCUCAACAAGGAGAGCUCUUCUUCUCUUGGAUGGAGCAACCAUGGGCUCCUUCCCUUUUCUUUUAGCUGCAGAAGAUAUUUGAUGAGAUUUUGCAGGAGUCUUCUCCUUGAAUUUCUCCAACUCCUUGCUCAGUUCUUUCAGACGCAUUUUGGUCACCAUUUUCAGACCUACCACCAUAUGAUCGCAUGGUCGAACACAAAAGAUUUGUAGAGGCUGAAUAUUCAGAUGUCUGAAUAACUUCGUAACAAGGCUUGGGUAAGGGAGUUGACCUCCGUCCUUCAUCAUUGCUCUAUACAUGUGAAACAUCACAGUGUGAGGGAGAGAAAACCUUUUUCCAAAGAGAAUGGCAUACAUCAACUUGGCCUCUGAACUUGAAACAUCAGUCUUGGAAGUCGAUUUCGGUCGGAUGCAAUUAAUCACAAUCUUGUGAAGCAAGAUGUUGAAUGCACCCAUCCUUAAGUAGGUGAUCUUUUCAUCUGUUCUCCUGUCCUUCACCAGUUCAAGAGUGGCCCGAGCAAUGGAAACUUUGAUUGGCUGAUAUCUUCCUCUUUCGACUUCUAACACAUCUGCCAGCAUAUUCAUAUCCACAACAUAAUCUUGGUUUUUAACGCUGAACGAGAAUCUAUUCGCAUCCAAAAAGCUUAGAUUUGAAUAGAAAUAUGCAGUUAAUUCAGCAUAGGCCUCUGUAGAGUCAGAGCAGAACUUUUCAAGUUGAAGAUAACUGAACUUUUCCCUCAAGUUCAUAUUCACAGCAUCCAGAAAAUCGAAAUCUACACUCCUAGGGUUUAUCACCCCACGCUUCAGCAAUUUCGAGUACAGAUCCUUUUGCUCCUUUGAUCUGAACAAAUCUCCCCUUUUUCCUUGGUUAUCAACCGCAACACCCAUUUUCGGUUGGAAUUGACUGUACAAUUUAUCAUCAUCAUUCCCAUCUACAGGAUUCGGCCCCCAGUCACGAGGAUCACUUGGGAUAUUUGCAAGGGUUUCCUCAGCCACCCCUUUUCGAGCAAUUCCCAAACUUUCCAUUUUUUUCAGAAAGAUAUAUUCGUUCCCAUGUCCUUUGUCUUUAAGAAAAUCAUCAAUGUAGUUCAAAGGAGUACGAAUUCCUUUUAGGGCACGAUAUAACUGGUAAAUAUAAGUGGGCUUUUGAACUCUUACAGGGUCUGCAUCCUCGAUGAUUUCUUCCUGUUGUUGAUGAUCAACGCCUUGAGGACUAGAUGGAGGAGAAUGACACUGUUGAGAAUGUUGUGGGCUCGCUUGCUGAUCUGGAGUCACUUCAUCUUCAGUAAGAUCGAAGUGCGUAGGCCCCUCACUCAUCCGCCGUGGUCCCCUGCUUGCAAUUCUCGAAGACUUUCUUGAAGAUGACAUCUUAGUUUUUGGAAGAUUCCUUGCUUGACUUUCCCAGGAAAGAUGACAACUUUUUAAGGAUUAAACGAAGAAGACAAACGGGAAUGGAGGAUCGAUGCUUUCUAGGGUUUUUGAGAGAAAAGUGAAGAGGAAUCGAUAGUUCACGAUCGGUUAAGAAGAGGGAUAAACGAACCAUCAUAAAGGAAAUAAAAAUAUGCCUUUUCAAAAUAACUGUCUUUUUCCGCAAAAAUAGCCAUUUCAAAAAUAACUUCCCUUUUGAAAAUGAAACGAUGCAAUAUUUACUUCAAUUAAAUAUAGCAACAAUUUAAACACAGUCUGACAAUCGUACCUUUUCAAGAUGAGAUUCAAGAGAGAAAGACUUACAGUCUGACGGACGUACCAAGACUGUCUUUCAGAUAAAGUCUUGUAAGUCUGAGUCUGAAAGUCUUUAGACUUUGAUAUCCUCAUACCUCAAAAUGUUGAGUCUCGAGCGUAUAGACUCAAAUUGAUUUUUCUCCAAAGGCUUUGUGAAUAUAUCCGCCAGUUGAUUCUUUGAGUCAACAAAUUGAAUUGAAACAUCUCCAUUUUGAACAUGGUCUCUUAUAAAAUGAUGUCGAAUCUCUAUAUGCUUUGCUCUUGAGUGGAGAAUUGGAUUUUUGGUGAGGUUGAUAGCGCUGGUGUUGUCGCAAUUAAUUUCCGUGCAUGAGUCUUCAAUUUCAAAGUCUCUUAGCUGUUGUUUUAUCCAUAGAAUUUGCGAAUAGCAGCUUCCCAGAGCUACAUACUCUGCUUCUGUUGUUGAAAGAGACACAGUGCUUUGUUUCCUUGAAAACCAAGACACUGUCCUGCUUCCAAGCAACUGGCAAGUUCCCGAAGUGCUCUUUCUAUCAACUCUGCAAUCGGCCAGAUCUGCAUCUGAAUAUCCCAUAAGAUUAAAGUCUCCCUUCUUAGGAUACCAAAGACCGAUGCUUGAUGAUGAAGCAACGUAUUUAAUGAUGCGUUUCGCAGCACUGAGAUGGGAUUCUCUAGGAUCUGAUUGAAACCUAGCAUAGAUGCAAACACUCAACAAGAUGUCAGGUCUAGAAGCAGUAAGAUAAAGGAGUGAACCAAUGAUGCUUCUGUACAGCUUUUGAUCAACUUUCUUCCCUUCUUCAUCUUUGUCUAUCUUCAAAGAACUUGACAUCGGUAUGUCGGUCUUUUUGCACUUUUCUAAUCCAAAUCUUUUGACAAGAUCAUUAACAUAUUUUUCUUGAUAAAUAAAGGUUCAUUCCUUCAAUUGUUUUACUUGAAGACCAAGAAAGAAUGUUAACUCUCCCAUCAUACUCAUUUCAAAUUCAUCCUGCAUAGACUUAGAAAAUUUCUUGCACAUAUUUUCAUUAGAAGAUCCGAAUAUAAUGUCGUCCACAUAUAUUUGAACAAGUAAGAAACUUUUGUUCUCCUUUUUGAUAAAUAAAGUAGUAUCCACUUUACCUUUGACAAAACCAUUUUGUAUUAAAAACUUACUUAAUCUGUCGUACCAAGCUCGAGGUGCUUGCUUUAAACCAUACAGAGCCUUCUUCAGUCUGAAGACUGAGUCUGGCUUCUUUGGGUCUUCAAACCCUGGUGGUUGUUCCACAUAAACUUCCUCUUGGAUGACUCCAUUUAGGAAGGCGCUUUUGACGUCCAUUUGGAAUAACCUGAAAUUCUUAUAACAAGCAAACGCAAGUAAUAGUCGAAUAGCUUCUAACCUUGCUACUGGAGCAUAAGUCUCAUCAUAGUCUAUUCCUUCUUCUUUCAUAUAUCCCUUGGCCACGAGUCUUGCUUUGUUUCGUAUGACUUUUCCUUUCUCAUUCAUCUUGUUUCUGAACACCCAUUUAGCUCCAAUAACAGUUUUACCUUUUGGUUUGGAUGUCAAUUUCCAGACAUCAUUAAUGCUAAACUGUCUGAGCUCUUCUUGCAUAGCUUCAAUCCAGCUUUCAUUAGAUAAAGCUUCUUCUAUGCUUUUUGGUUCAAUUUUAGAAACGAGAGCCACAACACUAGACUUUUCUCGCCUUUUGGAUCUAGUGCGAAUUCCUUCAUUCAUUUCGCCGAUUAUAAGAUCUUUGGGAUGACUGGACUUAUGCUUCCAGUUACUCGUUGAUCUGUCUGGUUGAUGAUUUCUUUCUUUGUUUGGAUCUUCACGAACAUCUUGAAGCUGGUUUUCCAGAGUCUGAGAUGCUUCUUGAGAUGUAAGCUUUGGAAGAUCUGGAGCAGGUUCAGACUCUUCUUGAUGAGUCUGACUUGAUUCAUCUUGUGUUGAGUCUUGGAAUUUGACAUUCAUUGACUCCUCCAUAAACUGGCUCUUCUUGUUAUAGACUCUGAAGGCUUUGCUUGAUGUAGAAUAUCCAAGGAAGAUACCUUCAUCUGAUCUUUCUUCAAACUUACCAACUUGAUCUUUUGCAUUUUUCAAUAUAAAACAUUUGCAACCGUAUACAUGAAAGUAUGAAACAAUAGGCUUCUUAUCUUUGAACAAUUCGUAAGGGGUUUUCUCUAGAAUAGGUCUUAAGAAGAUUCUAUUGAUGAUAUAACAUGCUGUUGAAACAGCUUCAGCCCAAAAUCGUGAAGAAAUCUUGCUUUCAAAUAAAAGAGUUCUAGCCAUUUCCUGAAGAGAUCUGUUCUUUCUUUCCACAACUCCAUUUUGCUGAGGAGUAUAUGGAGAGGAGAACACAUGAUUAAAGCCAGAUUCAUCACAAAAUUUUGUAAAAUCUUGAUUUUCAAAUUCACUUCCAUGAUAUGUUCUUAUACUUGAGAUAACACAUCCUUUUUUCAUUUUGAACCUUUUUAGCAAACUUUUCAAAAUACGAGAAGGUUUCAGACUUACUUGCAAGGAAAUAUACCCAAGUAAAACGGGAGUAAUCGUCCACAAUUACUAGGCAAUAUUUCUUACCUCCAAUACUCUGUGUUCUGGUUGGUCCGAAGAGAUCCAUAUGCAGCAACUGUAGUACAUGAUUAGUAGAGACAUGAUUUAUUGGCUUGAAUGAAUUUCUUAUCUGCUUUCCCAGAAUACAUGGAGUGCAUGGAUCAGUCUUUUGAUAAGGUAAUUUGGGUAGUCCUUGAACAAGCUGCUUUGAUGAGAUUUUGGCUAAUUGCUUCAUGUUAACAUGACCAAGCUUUCUGUGCCAUAAGCUUGCUUCGUCUUGAAUUGAGAUAAAACAUUGCGAUUCAUUUGGUUUCACAUCCAGAAGAUAAAUGUUUCCAUGUCUACGACCCAUGAAAGACUGAGUAGAGUCUUUACUGAUUCCAGAACAUAUUCCUUCUUGAAAAAAGAUCUUGAAACCAGUAUCACACAAUUGACUAAUGCUGAGAAGAUUGUAAUUGAGUCCUUCCACUAAGGAAACAUUACUUAUUGUGAGAUUUCCAAUUUUCACAGUUCCAAAUCCCACAAUACUCCCUUUGUUGUUUCCUCCAAAUGAAACUUUUCCACCAUUUACUUGAGCAAUCUUUAUAAAACAAUUUGAGUCUCCUGUCAUGUGUCUUGAGCAUCCACUGUCAAGAUACCACUUUACCUUUUUCUUGACGGUGACCUGCAUUUAAAAAAGAGUCUCAAGCUUUCUUUGGUACCCAAACUUUCUUGGGUCCUUUUGUGUUAGUAACAUAAGCAGUAUUAGCCCAUAUUCUCUUAACAGGUUUCCAAACCAUAGGACACUCUUUUUCAAGGUGAUCCGGACUGUUGCAUUUUGAACAUUUUAGAGCAUUUCUUCCUACAGAUUUUACAAAAACUUUCUUGAAGUGAUUUUUGUAAACCUCUCUCGAGAGUCUUUUCUUAAUUCUUUCUUUUACUUUAGGAAAAUCAAUCAGGGGAAUUGUUUCUUCUGUCAUACCUAAACCGGACUUAUUGAAGUAAGGUCUUUGAGCUGAAAGAAUUUUCUCAAGUUUUUCGGACCCUAUUGAAAAUUUCUUUGAGAUAUUUGAUAAGUCUGUUUUUAAAAAAGCAUUUUCUUUUAAAAGAUCAUCUUCAUUUUCUUUAAGAGUGGAAACAGUCAAGUCAAGACUUUUAACUCUUUCUACUAAAACAUUUUCCUUUUGUUUUAGAGCUGAGUUUUCCUUUUUCAGUUCGGAAAUUCUUUUGAGAGAAGUCUUAAGACUAAAACAUAAUUCAUCAAUAUAUUUAGAAACUUUGACAGGAAUUUUAAUAUCACUUGCCUCAAAUUUACUGUCUGAGUUUGAUCCAGAGUCUGAGUCUGAUUGUGCCAUCAGACAUAGAUUGGCAUAUUCAUUAUCACUUUUUUCACACUCUGUGUCACUCCAUGUUUUGGCUUUGAGAGCUUUUCGAAAUCUUUCAGCUUUUCCUUUCUUCUUUUUCAGAAGAGGACAGUUGGGUCUGAUGUGUCCCUUUUUCUUACAUUCAAAGCAGACUAUGUCUUUGUUUGGUUCCUCAUCAUCAACAGACUUGGUCUGCUGUCUUUGAAAGCUUUGUUUCUUUGAAUUGAACCUUCUUCCUUUUCUAUUCAGUUUUCUGAAUCUUCUUAUCAUGAGAGCAAGCUCCUCAUCGUCCAUAUCUUCUUCAGAAUCUGUAUCAUCAGAAUCAUUAUUUGAUUUUAAUGCAAUGGAUUUCUUACCUUUUGGAUCUUCAUCUUCAUUGAUCCAUUCCACUUCAUAAGACUGAAGAGUUCCAAUUAGCUCGUCGACAGAUAGUGGCAUAAUUCUUUGCGUCUCUCUUAUCGAAGUCUUUAUGUGAUUCUAAUCCCUGGAGAGUCCACGCAGUAGCUUGUUUACCUUCAUGGGAUCAGAAGUUGGUUGACCUUGAUUUUCAAGACCAUUCACAAUAUCUGUAAAACGACUAAACAUGUCAGAUAUAGAUUCUCCUGGUUUCAUUCUGAAGGCUUCGUAUUGACCAAGAAGAAUGUUGAUUAUAGUUUCCUUCACUCGAUCUGUUCCUUCAUAAGUGAUAUGCAAUCUAUCCCAAACUUCUUUUGUUGUACCACAAGAAGAUAUUCUAUUAUAUUCAGUUGGUGAUAAAGCACAAUAUAAGGAGUAAAUUGCUUUUGCAUCGAGUGCUUGUCUUUUGUUUAUUUCUUCCUGAGACAUUCCGCUGGUUUCAUCAGUUUCUUUUCCUCUUUCAGAUACUGAUGCAGUGGUAGGAGUAAUUCCUUUUUCUACAACGUCCCAUUCCAGAGGAUCCUUUGAUCGAAGGAAAGCUUUCAUCUUGUUCUUCCAGAUGUUGUAAUCCUUUCCAUCAAAGUAGGGUGGUCUGGUAUUGCUUUGCCCUUCCAUCAACCCUGGUGCUAGCAUACUAGCCAUGGAUCUUUUACUACGAAGUAAAACACUUCAAAUAAAGUAAGUACACAGGCUCUGAUACCAAUUGAUAUUGCUAGUAUGAGUACCUAGAGGGGGGUGAAUAGGUAUAUAAAGAGUUUUUCUCAAGCAAUUGCACAAUACUAGACAGUUGGAUGAAACGAUAAUCAAAGUAAGACUGAGAGAAGAGAAAAUUUAACACGCGGUUUAUAGUGGUUCGGCUUAUAUCAAGCCUACGUCCACUCUUCUUCACUGACAGCCUAUUGGCUAGAUUCCACUAUGAACAAGAGAGAGGUUACAGCACAGCUUUGCCUUGAUUCCACAGUGUAGAUGUUCUACUACACCUCCUCAAGAUUUCUCACAAAUAUAGACUCUCUCUUUCGUAUACAAGUAUUCGCUCAAAGGAUUUGUCUAAACAAAAAGAAGCUUCAGACUUUGGAAUUAUUCUAUCGCGCACACCUUGAACAACUAAGACAGUCUUCCUUAUAUACUCCUUUAUGCCAUUAUACCCGUUGGCACUUACCAAAGGAAUUCCUCAAAUCUACCCGUUGGACGGAAUCAAUUAGGAAGAUUGUCCAAGCUAUAAAUGGAACGUGUUGAUAGCCCAUCAAUCAUGUUCGCCCAUACAAUCAGGAUCUCGGUUUCCAUAAGCAGAACCUUCCAAUAAUAUUUAGGCAAUCACCGGAUCUUCAAUUAUCGAAUCAAUCUUCGAUCAAUCAAAGGACUCCGUUUAUGUCUUCUCCAGCCAUGAGAUCUUCUCCAGUUGAUAAGGUUAAAUCCUCAACGAAACAUCCAGUUCUGGAUAACCUUUCUUCAACGGAUUAGAGACUGUCAAUGAGGAUAGACUUUGAGUCUUGAGUCUGGCUGUCCCAAGGUCUUCAGACUUUAAAUAGCAGAGUCUGCAAGCCUUCAGACUAGACUGAUAGAAACGAUUUGUCAACUUCAAAACACUUCAAGAAGAUUUCUCCAACACAAUCCUUGUAGCAACCUCUGCAACUUGUGCAGUUGCUCGUCUUCUCACCUAAGAAACACAUAACAAAUGUAAAUUUUAGCCCAUAAAAAGGCCAAACACAGUGAUGUACAACUUACAGGAUAUUUUUUUCUUGUUUGCUCAACGGUGGACUCAGUUGUUAUUGUUGCUGUCUUACCAAUUCUAGUCCUUAUCCCUGCACUUGAGCCUACAACAUGGCCUUUUUCUGGCCCUUUAGUAGGCCUUACAACAAUGUGCUGUAUUAGGAUUAUGACCAACUACAACGAAUAAUUACACAUCUCAUUUUCAUAGUGGAAACACAUGGAGAAAACUUCUCAAAUUACAAGUGCAUGACAGAGGAAAAGCACAAGAGAAGCUAGUACACAUGGUCAACCAUCAAACUCUAUCGAAUAAGAACUGUAAAGUUACUGAGAUAAAGAGGAUACUUACCUUACAGUAUGGCUUUCUGUUGCCCUUUAGUAGACAUUACAGCAGGGCCUUCUGUUCUCCCUUCAAUAAGCCCAACAAGAAACUCUUUGUAAGUCAUGUCCCUGGCAUUGAAUCAACCAUUACAUCUUGCUAUUGAUACUGCUUUUUCAGCUCACAACCUUUCUUAUCGUGCCCUUCCUUGCGGCAAUAGGAGCAUUUCAUAUUUGAUCUAGUCCUACUCAUCCUUUGACUUGAUGCCUCUUCCUAUUGCAUUCUUCGUCUCUUUUUUGGCCUUCAUAUUUGCUUCUUCAGCGGUAAAGGUAGAGGGCUUUAAUGAUUUGUUGGCUCCCAAAAUUUGCUGCUUCUGAUAGGCUACAUCAUGAAUUGGUAUGAAGCAAGGUAUGAGCUUUUUUUGUACCAAUCAUCUAGGUAAUCAUCUAGGUUUUCUUGCUUCAUCUGAAUAGCACAAAUGGCAUGAGCACAGGGAAUUCCAUUCAGUUGCCAAGCUCGGCAUGAACACUUUCUUCUAUCCAAGUUGACAACAUACUUAUCAUGAUUUGGAAUAAUCUCAUACCCAUUAUCUUCAUUCCAAACUGGAUGGCAGAACCUACUAACAGCAAUAUUUGCAUCUAAUCUCUUCACAAUCCUAGGGCCACAGUCUCUACUCCAUUUUGUAGCAUCAUCUCUUUGCCUAUGCAGUCUAGUCAUAACCAUAACUCGAAUAUCAUCAAGCAUGCUGAUGAUUGGUUUGCACCUAGCCUCUAAAAUUCUACCAUUGAAAGCUUCAUUGAGGUUGUUAUCAAUGUUAUCGCAUUUGAACUCUUCGCUGAAGAAGACCCGACACCAGUGCUUAGCUUCUGUCUGGAAGAGUGUAUCAAAACCUUCAUUUGUCAGCUGUAACAAUCCUUGUUUCGCUAAUUUGAAAUCAACCAUAUUCGUACUCUUUGCUAUCUGCCAGAACUGCUUCUACAACAUAUCUCCUUUGAAGUUCCUUGACCAGUUUGCAUAUAUGUGCCUCGUGCACAUUCUAUGCUCAGCAUGUGGCAUCAACUCAGCCAAUGCAGGAAUAAGUCCAUACAAAAAUUCAAACCAAUAAAUACAAGUCAAGAAAAAUAUGCAAGUGAUUAAUAUAUAAAUGAGUGAUUAUUGACAUGAAAUUACCUUCUAUUGGUUGCUCAUGAAUGCCCAUCCUCCCCCAUCGGUUAUCACAAGGUCAGUCAUCAAAUUUUUUAGGAACCAUGACCAAAUAUCCUUGUUCUCUAUCUUUACCACCGCCCAAGUUAUCGGGAACAUUUAAUUAUUGGCAUCUCUCCCCACAGCAACCAACAACUCCCCCUUGCAUAAACCCUUUAGAAAGCAUCCAUCCAAUCCUAUAACUCUUCUACAACCAACCAAGAAGCCCCGUUUGCAUGCAUCAAAACAGACAUAAAAUCUAUCAAAUUUAGGCCAAAGAUCAGGGAGUGGCCUCUUCACAACCUCUACAUAUACCCUACUGGAUGGGUUUUGAAACAUGUAUUCACCAGCAUAAUUCCAUACCUGUGCAUAUUCUUCUUUAUACCCACCCAUCAAUAUUUUCAUCACCCUUAUCUUAGCUCUCUUACAUUGAUUCCUCGACACAUUAACCUCCACUUGCUCCUUCACUAAUUGUUGAAAUUGAGAACUCUUGAUCUCGGGCAUUGCUUUGAUAGUAUUAAAAAAAUUCUUUGAUAACCACACACUUGUUACCCUUUUAUUAUUAAAGAUAAUUGGACAAGUAUGCUCCUCCUGAAAGGACCUAAGCUAGAAUGACCUAUUCUUACUAAGCGCAGCAUAGAGCUUCCAUGAACAAUUAGGUUGUGAGCACUUAGCUCUCACAAAUUCCUUCGUGUUUCUAAUAAAUUUAACGCUCCUCUGUUCACCAAUUGAGUUCUUCACAACAGCUUCCUUGAACUGUUUGGCAUUGUCAAAUCUCAUGCCCACCGACAAAACAGGUUUAUCAACAGUUGAAUCAUAGAAAGGAUACUUACUUUUUCUUCGAGGAGCAGGUUCUUCAUCAUCAUUGUCAAGCUCAUUUUCCGAACUAGUAACUUCAUCGCCACAGCUUUCUUCAUCUUCACUUCUAUUACCCUCAGCUUGAUCUCCAUCCCUAUUUACUGGCUCGGACCUUUUUGCUAAAGCUACAAGUUUUUUUUUCUCAGAAAUUCCCUUUGCUUUUGUCUUGACUGUACGAGUUCAUCAUCAUCUUCGUCACUUGGAAAAUUUACUAAAGCCAAACAUUCAUCUUCCGAUUCAUUAGAUAAAGCAAUUUCCCAUUCUAAUCCAAUGAAGUCUUCAUCGCCCACAUCUUCACCCAAAUCUUCACCCAAAAUUUCAGGACAUCUCCCUCUUUGUUCAUCUCUAUCAAUAUGACUUAUCUCCCUCUCAUUUUGCCCUUCAUCUAACCUAAACUUAUCCCCGACUUGAUUACUCGUUUGAACAAGAUCCCUCACUUCUCCUCCUUCAGUGGUCGUCUGCUCAUCCACAUCCUCAUCCUCAUCCUCACUAUAAUACUCAACAUAUACCUUAACUUCUUCAUUGUGAAGAUAAUGGUAAAUGAUAUCCUUAAUACCAUUAUCGUUGUUAAAAAAUCUUAACCCAUCCUUCAAUUCCUUCCCAGGAACACAGUAAUGUAGUUUUUGCACUUUGCAUCGUAAAAAAUACACCAAAUCUCUCAGAAAAUCAAUAUAUGAUGGCUUCCAAACAUUGACAUAAAUAGUACCUUAAUUUCCACUAUUUUAUUAUCAAUCUUCAGUGCCAAUAACAAACUCUCCACCAUAGUAAACAAUGACGCUUACCUGAUUCGUGUCCAUGUCGAUGCUGCACCCAAUGAAAAAAAAAAGAGUCAUUGUCGUUUUGUUGGAACCACAUGACAGAAUCGACAACUUCACAUGUAGGUCCUUAUCGUUUUGUUGUCAAGGAACAAAUGCGACUAAAAUCUCCCCAAUUCGGUGGAUUUACAGAAAUAAAAGAAACCGAAUUAAAUAAACAAAGUGAGGUCCCCACCACUCAUUUUUCAAUUCAAUCACAUUCACAUUCGGUCCCCCACAAAAGCAGUCCAAUUAAUUAAAUAAAAAAAUUCGGUCCACCACUGUUUCCCUCCGAGUCAAGCCUCUCCGCACCAUUUUUUCUGUUCGGUCCUCACAAUAGAAAACGAACAAACGAUGGAAGAAUCAAUUUUUCUAUUCCGUCCCCAUAAAAGUGACAUCCCCACCACUUUCCCCACUACUUUCCGCUUGAGCCAAGCCCUCAAUUUGCCCUCCGUGCCCUAAUUUGCCCGUCGGAACCCUAAUUUUUUCGCAAAAUUGAUCCACGUAGAGAACAUGACAAACUUGAACGAUCGUGAACAAUGGCGCAACUACAACGGUGGCCAAGCGAUAGUGGGCGAGCGACAGCAGGCGAGCGAACGACGGUGGGUGAACGACAGUGGGUGAGCGAGCUCCGGCCAGCGUCGAGGAGAAUAAUAUACGAACCCUAUUUUACUCCCUCUUCAGCAACAUCGUUUUUUGCUAUGGAGCAACGCGGCGUCGUUUCUUAUGUGAAUCCACGGUGGAUGGCAAGAAACAACGUUGUUUCUUACAAAGAAAGGAAAACGGCGUCGUUUUAUGCUAUCCACCGUGGACAAUCUUAAGCCACAUCGUUUUUUUUUUAAAUAUAAAAGCCACGUAUUUAUUUUGGCCGAAAUUUCUCGCCAGUGGCACCAAAGUGAUCGUUUUUUCUCCGAUUUGGCACUUAAGUGAUUUGACGGAAACUUUUGACACCAAAGUGAGCGCCGUACACAACUUAUGGCACCAUUAGUGUACUUUUCCCCAAGGUUAAGGCUUGCCACACUGAAUGUAACUUCGCUUUGGGACCCAACCAACGCUAGAACGCCACCCGUCUUCAAAAGAGACAUGUAAGGAUCAAAUAGGUGAUCAGCAGAUGCCGUGUCGAUUAUAAAGUCCAGGGACUUAGCCAUGGCCUGCAUGUAUUGGAAUCAUCAGAUCACGGUAGCACUUGACCUUAAUGGAUCUAAAGUAUUGAUAAUUUUAAAUCUUCCCGCCUGCCUUCGUCUAUUCUUGGUCAGAUGAGAUAACGAAGUGGUCAGCACCAAGCAAGCUCAGUGCUUCCUCCUUUUUAGAAAUGCUUGUACUAAACAUAGCGAAUUUCAGUCCAUAAGCCUUCCCAAGCUUAAUUGCCAUGUGACUGAGCCCACCGAGUCCAAUUACACCAAGAGACUUACCCGGUUGGUUCAUCUUGUGACGCACCAUUUGAGUGUAUAUUGUGAUUCCAGCACAAGGCAAUGGUGCUGCUAAAGCCAACGGGAAGUUUUCUGGAAUCCUGAAGCAGUACCUGUUAAUGAAGCACCACAAUUAAGUUUCCAAAUCACACCAAAGGAGGAAGGGAUUUCCCAAUAGAAUCAGCAUCCCAUCUUUUUUGUACAACGGGAUUCAAAUCACAUUUUACUUGCUUAGAGCACAAUUCAACAUCAUGUGGUUUCUGUGAUUCUUUUUCUGACCACAAAUUGCUUAAGACGAAAACUUCUUGCUGUAGCGACGAAAGUAAAGCCACUGCAGCAUACAGGAGGCCAUACUUGAUCAAAAUUGAGAAAAGAGGCUUGCUCUAACAGAGUACACUGGAAGCAUAUUGCAUAUGCAUGGCAGAUCAUGUAAUUUCUCUAUUCCCCUCAAUCAUGUCUCUAAGGGACACGAUAUUCCCGUGACUGUCGAAUACAAGAAUCCGUGAAAGCACGUACAUUUUAUUACCCAUUUGAUCUAACACUUACCAUCUAACUCUUGGAAACAAUCUAAAAAAAGGGAGGAAGAGGAGAUAGAAGGCAAGAAUUGAGCAAUUUCCAUCUGUUUCUCUCUUUUAAUUAAGAGUUAAUAUCCUAAAAAACUCCAAAUUGGUACACAUGUGACAAAUUUACCCCGAUGGACUAUUAAAAACCCUAAAAUUAUAUAUUUAUGACAAAUUUACCCCAAACUAAUUUAUUCGACCACAAAAAAAAUGGUAAAUUUGUGACAAAUAUAUCCUCCACUAAAUUGAAUUAAUACCAUAGUAAACCGUGACAAACGGAGCGUAAAAUCUCAAAUUGAUAUACUAGUCAACUGUCACAUGUCAUUUAACUUAAUAAUUUGACAGUAAAAUUUAAUGAAAACUAAUAGAAGGUAAAUUUGUCACAAGUGUACCAGUUUAGAGUAAAUUUGUCAAAUAUAUAACAAUUUAGAGUUUUUUGUGGUAAAAAAAAAUAGUUUGGAGUAAAUUUGUCACAGGUAUAUCAGUUUGGGGUUUUUUAGGGUAUUAACCCUAUAAUUAAUUUAGUUUUAAAUUUAAUCUUAUUAAUUUUUCAUGAAAAAUUCAUAUGUUAAAUUUAUUGGCUCACAUGUCAUUGUCACUUGAUGUGUAUGAUAUAUAGAAUAGUCCAAGAAAUUUGACUUUAGAUACAUGGGAACCCGCGAAUGGUCAUACAUUGUCGAUUACACAUUCAACAUGAUGUAUUAGCUAAUCAUAGUCCUCUAACGGUUUAUAUUUGCUUAAUAUAUUUCAAGAAUAUUAAUUUGUUAGACUUGUCCGCUCACACGCCGCUGUCACUCGAUGUGUAUGAUAAGCAGAAUAGUCGAAGAGCUUUGACUUUAGAUACUUGGGAGUGUCUAUGCUUGUUUUAUGUCUAUUAUGCUUGCAAUGCUUCUUGUUUUGAGUGGACAGUACAAAUAUUUAAGUCCGUGUCAAUUUGAACAAUUUUCUUUAUUAUAGAGCAACAGUCUUUAAUCUAUUGUGUUCUUGACCACAAAAAACCAAAUAACAAAUAAGUAUAAAUUAUUGUAGGGUCCAACGACAAUCUUUAAUCUAUUGUGUUCUUGACCACAAAAAAUCAAAUAAUAAAUAAGUAUACAUUAUUAUAGGACCCACUCCUUUAAAAAUUUGUUGUUCACAAAAACUUAUUUAUUCUCAUAAUAACCCAAAGUUAUGCUAGCAAAAAUGCAAUUUAAUCCUAAAAUUUGUCACGAAAUGCAAUUGAGUCCUAAAAUUUUCAAAAAGUACAAUUAAUUAUAAAGAUUUAUCAAAAUUGGUCCAAUUUAAGUCAUUCCAUUCAUUGCAAUUUUUGAAAGUUUUAGAGCUCAAUUAUGCUUUCCUAACAAGUUUUAUGACUUAAUUAUAAUUUUUGAAAAUUUUAGAACUUAAUUGUAAUUUAUGAUAAGUUUUAGGAUUUCUAGUACACUUAUCUUUUUUUUUUGUUUUUCACCUCAUUAAUCUUUUUUGCAACAAUGAGCUUGACAUAUCUCUGUUUUGAGGAUUUCAGUGGCUAGGGGAAACACAGGGAUGUCCUCUAAUGAAUCAACAAUCUUCCUGCCAUGACAAUGCCGGAAGAGAGAUGAGUGUCUUACAUAGUUAACAAAAAUGUUCAUGUUAUAAUUGGUAAGCAUUCGCUUUCCCAACGUGCAUGAACAUUUCCGGCGAUGAAACAUUCGUGAGGAGCCAGUAAAGACAUCCUGUUAUUUAAACCGGCAAGAGGAUAUCGAGCUUGCUCUAUUGGCAAGUAUAUUGUUGUCAGAUAAGCCUAAUAAAUCCGAUAUUUUCAUACAAAAAAUCGUCAUCGAGGCCAACUUAAUCCAAAAUGCCAAUGGACAGGCUUGGGUAAGCUAGUGGAUAGGUAUGCCGCUUUAUCUUAUGUCGUGUUAUCUCACGAGAGAUGGUGCUGCGUUCUCUUUAGAAUGCACAUGACUUGGGAUAGGAAAACCUUAGGAUCCGACUAGGAGGAAGGAAAAAAGCAAUCUAUUGUCGGGCCAAUAUAAGAUCAUUUCAUGUCAAACUCCGCAGUCUUGAGGCCAUGGAAUCUACGACAUACUUGCUCAUUCACAAGGACUGAGCAAAUAAAUGAUAAAAUAAGAGCAAUGGUCGUCAUUGAUCGUCUGCCCUUUAACUGAUUGGAUUCUAAAUAUUUUAUUUUCAAUUGGGGUCUAAAUAUUUUAUUUGAUUCAAUUGACUUCUAAAGAUUUCCAAUUUUAGUCAAUCAAGUCCCUCAAAUAUUAUCCUCGGAAAGAGCCACAUGGCUGUGAUUUUCCUAGUGGCUAAGGAGAUGCUUGAGGAGAAAACCUGUAGGAGAGGCGAAGCCAUCCAAGCAGAACUCUCAAGAAGUCAAUUUUUCAGACAGUUUCUCAAUCAUCACAUAGAGAAGUACCAGGAUUUCAUUACCCAUUUCACUUGUUUCUGCUAUAAAACUCACGAGUAUCGAAGUAUAUCAGGCAUAGUUUAUUUGUACUCCAGCAGAGCAAUUAAGAAGGCAUAGAUGAUGCUCUCCUCUAGCUGAAAGCCCGAAACUCCCACUUUUCCUCUGUGUGAUCAGCCUUGCCAGCAACAAUUUCCAACUACCCAAAUUGAUGUUGAAAUUUAAUCAAAUAGACUCAGAGAAGAAAACAAACAAGAGAAUUGUUGCUGUAACUUUCGUUACUUUAUUCAUCAGAACAUAAGCCUAUUAAAUAGGCAGAACAUCCAAACCACUUAGCAAGACAAUAGCUAUAGAACAACAACAAAGACCCACUAACAUACCCCACUAACCAGAACAUAUGCAGAAACUAACUCCUAAAAACAAGCCACAUCCUAUUGACUAGGACUCCACUAUUACAUUAUUGAAGACACGUAAAAACUGAAAGUUAACUACUUCAACAAUUGAUGGUGUCACUUCAAGGAGUUCUCAAUGUCAAUCACGAAUCGAUACUUAACAUCUCUCUUGAUGAGCCUCUCCAGAGCUUCGUUGGCGUAAUCGAUCGGUAUCACUUCAAUGUUUGGGUAUAUCUUCUGCACCGCACACAAGUCUAUCAUUUCUUGGGUAUUCUUUGUUCCUCCCGUUACGCUACCCGUAACAGUUCUCAUAUCUGCCAAAAGUUCACCGCGAGCAACUUAAUUCACCUAUCAGGUAUGAAAUUUCAUUUAGUAAUCAGAUUUGAGAACAAAAACAUACUGAGGUUAAGGCUGGCUGGACUGAAUUUAACUUCGCUCGGGACGCCGACCAAUGCUAGAAUGCCACCCGUCUUCAAAAGAGACAUGUAAGGAUCAAAUGGGUGAUCACCGGCUGCCGUGUCGAUUAUAAAGUCCAGGGACUUAGCAAUGGCCUGCGUGCAUUGGAUUUAUCAGAUCACAACAGAAUUUGACCACCAUGGAUCUCAAUGUGGAUAAUUCUAGUUUUUCCUCUUUUUACCUUCAUCUGCUCCAGGUCAGAUGAGAUAAUGAAAUGGUCAGCCCCAAGCAGGCUCAGUGCUUCCUCCUUUUUAGAAAUGCUUGUACUUAACACUGUGACUUUCAGUCCAAAAGCCUUCCCAAACUUAACUGCCAUAUGACCGAGCCCACCAAGUCCAAUUACACCUAGAGACUUACCAGGUUGGUUCAUCUUGUGACGUAUCAUUGGAGUGUACACCGUGAUUCCAGCACAGAGCAAUGGCGCUGCUAGAUCCAUCGGGUAGUUUUCUGGAAUCCUGAAGCAAUACCU